UCCUUCUUUUUCUUCUUCUCUUCACCGUGGGCGGCGCCCUCGCCGCCGCCGACACCGGGGAUCUUCUGCUUGAUCUUGUCCACCAAGCCCUCCUUGUGUUCGCCCUCCUUGUGUUCCCCGCCGUGAUGCUGCUGCUGAUGGUGAACAUCAGUAGUGCCGACACCGGGGAUCUGCUGCUUGAUCUUGUCCACCAAGCCCUCCUUGUGUUCGCCGCCGUGAUACUGCUGCUGAUGGUGGACAUCAGUAGUGUGGUGGUCCCCACUAUGGUGCUCUCCCUUGUGCUUGUCCUCCUCCUUUUGCCCUCCUCCCAUGUGAAGGGCUUCUCCGAUCUUGUGAAUAACUCCUGACAUUUUCCCUUAAAAUGACUCUGUUCCUCUUCUUUUCUUUUCAAUGAAAAAUAGUUGUUUGCGAUCUUCUUCUGGUUGUUGUUGUUCUUGUUGGGUGAUCUUGGCUUGGUAUUUAUAGGCUCCAAAAGGAGGGACUAGAAUUAGGAUUAGAUUAUAGAUUAUUUUAAUACAUUUUAUGGCAAAUUCUGAUUUGGAAAGAUAAGAUUAUCCUUUUGGUUUUCCUUAUUUACCCUUUUGCACCCAUUACGUGUACGCGUCUUCGUGGGCUUUUUGGGUAUUUCAAUUAUAUCGCCAAUGCUAAAUCGACACGUUGCAUAUCAGCCGCGGUACUGCCGUAUGUAGUUGUCCAGAAAUCGAGUCGAUUCUCGAUCGUACAAUAAUUAAAUAAUAUUUCAUACGAAAUGAGUUUAGAUAUAUUUUGAAAAUUUAUUUUUAAUUUAAUUAUACGUGUUAUAUAUUUGUUAAUCGAAUAGAGGUCCCACGUAACAGAGUGUUUCUCUAAUCUUUCAUUGCUUUUAAUUAAUUUUACCCAAAUAAAAAAAAAAAGGAAAAUUUAGAGAGAGAGAGAGAGAUAGCGAAUUAGAAGUUGAUUGUAAUAUCGACACCUGUCAGACAAUCAAAUAUCGUUAGUUAAAAAUCAGUUGUCCAUAGUCAUGGUCAUAGAUGGCGAAAUUGAUACUUAUUUUAAAAAACAAAACAAAACAAAACGAAACGAAACUAAACUAACAGAUGUUGAAAUGCAGUUCCGUGUUAACAGUCUGUGAUGAAUCUUUAUCUUUGAGUAUACCAUUCAAGAAAUUAUCAUUCAAAAAUUUAUUUAAAGCAGCAGCAAAUCACCUUCUAAUUCCUGAAUCAAAUUAAUUCGAUUUUUUUCGAGUCGAUCAAUUCAUUAGAGAAUUAACGGGCUAAGUUAAAGUUUUGUUAGUUAUUUUUUUUUAUAUUCCUUUAGAUGAUAUGAUUGUCAUUGUCUUUCUUUCUCUGGGCAACAAUAAAUACAAGAUGUGCAAAAGCGUAGUGGAACAUAAUUCGAUUAUGGGUAAAGGGAUCAGUCCGCAUAAUGAGGAUAAAGUUUUUCUCUUUAAAAAAAUUUAACCCAAAGAAAAGGUCGUAGUUUGUAAUAGCCGACACGCAGAUAGAUCACAAAGCAUGGCGGUCCUGAUGGCAAUAACUAACUGAUAUCUUCUGCGAUGAGAGGAGAUCACGUGGUUCUGACACGUAUCGCCCCAUCAACUGAUGUUGUGGCUGCAAUCGCGGCCCAGUCUUUAGAGAGAAGAAAGAUCUGUUAUAACGGGACCUACUUUAGCAUCUAUUUACGACAAAGCCCCUAUUUACUCUACUUAGUAGUAAUAAUAGCAAGUGUCGGGCUUGGAUUCCGUGUUGCUUUAAAUAAAUAUCCGCGUAAAAAGAAAAUGCUUCUUUAAUCCCUUCCUUGUAAUUUUUCGACACGUGGAUGGUUGAAAUUAGCGUGCCGACAUCUUAGGAAUUUUAUCUUGGAGACGGGAACACUGCAGUAGGCAAUGCCAUUUUCUUCGGAUGGUGUGUGGUGACAACGCCUUGGAUUUUGACGUGCAAAGAAUUUAAAUUGAAAAAGAAAAAAAGAAAUUACCAGAAUAAGCAUAGAAGAGAUAUUUUUCUUUUUGUCCUUUUUGGAAUGGAAAAAGAGAUCAAGAGAUUGUUCCAGUAAGUAUUACACAUGUCACAGGCUUAUUCAUGCCCCAUUAUGGCAACUUUUAUGCCUCGCGGUGCCCUCGGUUCCAGCAUAAUAGCUAAGACUUCAAUUUUUCUAACAUAUUUUUGUUACAAAUAUGAACGGAGUAAAUGUAUAACUUUAAUCCUUUGAAUAAAGAAAUGGCGGUUCUCCUGCUCGUUAAUCUCACUUGAAUCCCACCCAGGCAAAAUUUCUUUAUUUUAUUUAACAACAAUUUAAAGAAAGAAACUUUUGCCAGGUUGAAUUUCAAGUGAGAUUCAUUCGUGGGAGAAGUGCCAUUUCUUUAUUCAAAAGAUUAUGGUAAUUACAACUUUCAAUUUCGACAUAAAUUAAAAUUAUAGGCUAUACAAUAAAAUUGCCCUAAAUUAGUCCUAAUCAAUUCAGAUUAUAAAUUUAGGUAUAUUUAUUAUUUUAAUAUAUUAAUGUUCUAUAUAUAUAUAUAUAUAUAUAUAUAUAUGUGUGUGUGUGUGUGUAUNNNNNNNNNNNNNNNNNNNNNNNNNNNNNNNNNNNNNNNNNNNNNNNNNNNNNNNNNNNNNNNNNNNNNNNNNNNNNNNNNNNNNNNNNNNNNNNNNNNNNNNNNNNNACAGCAGAAAAUAUUUGCUAUGGAUAAGGAGACAUGGUCCCACGUCCCACCGUCCCAAUGCAUAUUUUGUAUGUUUCCAUCUUUUCUGAAAUUUUAAUAAAUAAAGUUUUUUGACCACUUGGCCAAAGAACCUUACCCUUACACAACUUUGUGGUUGGAGUCCUGUGAUACAUGUAAGAACUUAUUUUUUUUCUUAAUUAUAAUAUUUUAGAAUAUAAUUAAGUGAAGUAGGUUUUUUUUUUAAAUAUGAGUAAAAUAGAUAUUUUUUAAAUAUUAAAGAGAGUAAAAUUUGAAUAAUAAUAUAUUAAAAUUAAUACAAACUAAUUUUAAUAAUUAUUUAAUUAUAAAUAUCAAUUAUAACAUCAUAUAAUAUCAAUUAUAAUAUCGUACAUCUCAAUUAAUUCAAUAAUAAUAAUAAUAAAUGUUUUUUGGGAUAAGUAAACAGUCGCAUGGCGACAAUAGUGGAUCUGGAUUAGAGUGAAGUGGUCCCAAGAGGCUGAGGCUGUGGCUGUGGAGUUCUAAAAGUCAAAAGCUCCACGCACUUUGUUUCAGUACCAUACACACUGAAAAAAUUUGCAUUUGCAAUGACGAAAACUUUUCACGAAAUCAAAACACCUCUAAACUAUUUUGUUAUCGAUAUUUAAUGGAGGGGUUUCCUACCUUUUUAACACUCGAUUCACGCCUUGACGCAUCUCACAGAAAACCUCAUGAUCCCAUUAAUCUUGCGUAACAUAUCUCAAAGCCAAUGCAAGUGAUCUUGUUGCCUACUUCCCUUUGACGAUUCAAAAUUGUUGAAAAUAAUUCUUUUUUUUUUUAACCUCAAGGAAGUGACAAAAUAUAAAAGAAUAUUUUCUACACAUUAAACAUCUAGAUUUUUUUUUCUUUUCUUUUUAGAGUACUUGCACAAACCGUUUCCAAGAGAGACCUUUUUUUUUUUUUUUUUUUUCCGGGCUUGGUUACUAAUUUGGUGUGAAUACUCUAUGGUGAAAAAGGAAUCACAAAGCUGUAAUCAAUUUUUUUGCAUCAUUUAGUUGUAACUUGAACAUUGGGAGGUUUAUAAAGAAUUAAAUUAAUUAUAAUGCCUCUACUAGGAAAAGUUCAGAGUAGCCCUUCACAACUUUUUAAAGGCUUAAUAAUUUUCGCUUUCUUCCUCUCAUAACAUAACAAAAAAUUAAGAGCUUUACUCGUACACGUCCUAUGGCUAUAUAGUAUUGGGUUCUCUACUUCAAUCGGCUAUCUCAAACCGAAGGUUAUUUGGACACACCAGCAGUCACGUUUGGAAACUCUCAAAUGCUUGGAUUGUAAUUCUUGUGGAUGAGAUCAUCUAAAUCUUGGGCCCAAGCCGGACAAUGGGUGGACAAAGAACCCUAAAAUACAGUAAAGCUUCUAACACCCCACUAAAACUCUUAAGAAAUCCUACCUUUUAUUUUUAUAUCUCUUUCUUUUAGAAAUUAUAGAGAAGACAUAGCAUUUUAAUUAUUUUCCCUGCCAUUGAAAAUAAAUUCUGUAAACAUAUUUUUUCAUAAUAAAAUUAUUGUUAUUAGAUAAUUUAUUUCUUCAUUGUUUCAAAAUUAUUAUAAUUUUAUCAACAAAAUUAGUUAUGUCAUAUAUUAGGAUUAAAAUUAAUUAGGAUCCAUAACUUGUAAAGACAUUUUAGUUUAAUUGAAUUCAUAUUUGUCAUUUUAUGUAAUUUUCAAUAAAAAUACGACUAUGAGUGCAAAAGUGGGAUGACAUAAUAUUAAAAGAGUGUGAAAUAAUCGGUAAUUGAAAUGGAUUGAAAUCAUAAUAGAGUAUGAAAAUCAGAAUAAAUUGUUUACUUUAGUUGUAGAAAUCAAAAUUAAAAUAAACCAUAUUAUCAUUGAUGUAUAUAUGUUUUCUUGUAAUCGAAAUGAAUUCUUAUAAGUUACUAUAAGACCCUUAUGGUGUGUUUACUAAUCAGAAAUCAGAAUGGAGUGGAAUUUGAAUAUAGAAUGGUAGGGGUAUUCGCGGAUCGGAUUUUACGGAUUGGACAUUAAUUCAUAUCCGAUCCAUAAUUUUACGGAUUAUAAAUUCUCAACACAAUCCAAAUCCAAUCUAUAUGUUUGCAGAUCGGAUGCGGAUUUGACUCAAUUCAUAUCCAAUCCACUAUUUGACGGAUUGAUUUUGGAAUUAAAAAUUUUUAAUUUUGUCCAAUCUAUGAGGUAAUUAAAUUUAAAAAUCUAAUAUAAAAAUAAUUUAUUAAAUAAAAAAUUAACGUAAAAAUAAUUUUACUACCAAUUAAAUUCAAAAUUGAACAAGAUUUAAAUAAAUUAAUUAUUUAAAUAAAACUAGAAUAAUUUAUUUAAAAUUUUUAAAUAUAACAUAUCGAAAAAAAAUUCAUUUGUUUAGAUUAAUAUAUGAAAAUUAACUAAAAUUAUGAAUUUAAAUGUUGAAAUUUGAGAGCUUGGAUGUAACAGGAAGAAAUUAAGAAACUUGAAGAACUUGAAAAGAAAGUAACAAAUUAAGCUUAACUACCUCUAAUGGUGAAGUGAAACAGUGAUGGUUUGUGCGUGCAAUGGGGUACAAAUUUGGCAUUAUAUGCCAAAAUAUUUUGUUUGGCUUUAGAAUUUUUAAUGUUUAGGAAGCUAUAUUUGUUUAUUUAAUUACUCAAAUAUUUAAUUAUUUUUUAUUUUAUGUUAUUAUUGAAUAAGAUAUAAUAUUGUGUUAAUUUAGCUAUACUUUAAUUAAUUAAUUAAUUUAUUAGUAAGUAGCAUUGCUACAUUUAUAAGUUUUAUUUUUUAUUAAAUAAAUACUUUUUUUUUUCAGAUUCACGAAUUUUUACGGAUUUACAGAAAUAAAUCCAUAUCUAAUCCAUCGACUGUGGUUUUUUAAAUUUUCAUUCCAAUCCGAUCUACCAAUCCACAAAUUAUAUUUUUACGGAUCGGACGAAUUGAGCGGAUCAAAUUGGGUUCUGAACACCCCUAGAGAAUGAGAAUCAAAAUAAAUUAUUUACUUUAGUUGUGUGAAUCGGAAUUGGAAUAAAUUGUACUGUCAUUGAUGUGUUUACUUUAUCUUGGAAUCAGAAUGAAUAAUUUCAAAUUACUAAACUGACCUUAAUUUUUUAUUGUAAUAAUAAUAGUAGUAGUAGUAGUAAUAGUAGUAAUUUUCUAUUAUUAUUAUUAUUUUCUCUCUCUUUUGUUUUUAUUUUUUUAUUUUUCUCUUCUUCUUCUCUUCCUCUUUUUUUAUUUUUCUCUAAUUCAUCGAUACUUCUUCUUCUUCUUUUUUCUUUCGUUUUUAUUUUUAAUUUUUCCCUUCUUUAUCGUUCCUUCUUCUCCGUCCAUUCUCUAUCUUCAAACUCUUUUUACUUUUUCUCUUAUUCUUCAUUACUUCUUCUCCCUUUUUUUUUUUUUUCUCUUCUUUAUUAAUUCUUCUUCUUCUGCGUCUAUUCUUCAUCUUCAAAUUAUCAAGUGAAAAAUACCCACGGUGCCUUACAAGAAGAAUUGGUUUUGUUUGCUUCAAUUAUUUUUUGUAUUUUGUACUUUUGAUUGUUUCAAAAGAGGAUAAACUUGUAAUAAUGCAAUUUAAGUAGGGAUGUUUUAGACAAUUUUGGGUAUGAGAGUCUAAUUCCCAACCCCCCACUCCCUCGUAGCAGACUCCCAUUCUUCAUUCCUAACUUGGUGUUGGACCUACUAAAAUAAAUCCCAUUCCCCUUCUUAUUUCAAGAAGCAAACACGAUUUUGAUUUCAAUUCCCCAAUCCGAAAGUAAACGCACAAAAAUUGUACCCAUAUGAGAUUGCUUAUCCUCGAGUUUUUAGAUUGAAAAAAAAAAAGGAAAAAAGAAUGGCCCCAUUAGGAAGGGAUUUUAAGUGUUAGAUAAAGCCGGUGUUAACCAUUAGAAGGUCUCCGACCUUCAACUGUAAUAUAUUAAACCCAGAUAAAUUUACAUAUAAAUCACACAAACCAACAUGCCAAUCAAAUAAAUUACAUCAACUAACAACAAUUGACACAUUAAUUUUCAUAAUACAGAGGAUGCAGAAAAUUAAAAUGUUUUAUCUUUUCUCCUUAUUUGUGAAUUGGAAAAUGAAAAUGUUAAACAUACAGAAGAGUGAAACAGGAUGGAUAUAUAUACACACACACACACACACAGCUUUGGAGUUCAAUGUCAUCGUAUUGCUCCAAGAAGAUUGGCGCCAUCAAGCUUUGCACCUUCCAGAUGCUGUUUAAUCAUCACCAUAACACCUUCAGUAGACAUUAAUACAUAAUAGAAACACAAAAUUCACAUGAUCUGAAUGUCUGGUCUAUUUUACUUACCGUAUCUCGAAGAUUUACGUGCCGUAAAUAAGCUCUUUGAAGGUUGGCACCCUUUAAAUUGGCAUUACGUAGCUUUGCACCCUGCCGCAUAAAUGUUCGAAGUUUCAACAAAUUAAAGUCUCCUGAGAAAUACAUGUCACGAAAAAGUAGGGCUGAAACUUGCAUCUAAUGUACAAGAUUCAAUCAGGGGUGCUUGUCCCACAGUGAAAGUGUAUGGGGGAAAGUGCACUUUCACAAACCAAAGGGGCAAGAUGUGAUUAUCACACGAUUACAAAAGGACUGUAGUCAAGAGAGAGAACUGAACAUGCAGCUUGUAUUGAGGCCAUGAAAAUUGAUGAAAAGCAGUAACAAGCAACCAUUUUGAAAACACUUCAUAUGGUCGAAUCAAUAAAUCAAAGCUAAAAUGAUGUUGACGAUCGAUAGCUUUUAGGUGAUAAGAGUCUUGGCACUACAGUUAAAAUUAUUAUCUAGGAGUGCACACAUUAAUAAAAAAAAACACAACCAAUAAGCAUGCACUCUUAAUCAGCAUAUAAAUUAACAAGUUAGUUGCACCUUAUGUUGUUCCACAAACAGAUUGCUCGAACAAUUCACAAUCUUACCUUCAAAUUAGCUCCUUCCAAAUUAGCUCCCUCUAGGUUGGCAUUAGUAAGAUCAGCAGUCUGAAAAGUCAAGAGGACAAACAGAUUGCAAUUUGAUUAAAAUCUCAAAGUAGCAACAUUCUGCAUGAAAGAAGAGCAGCACAAUUGGCAACAUACAUUUUAGAUUAAGAGGAUGGGAUAAAAGCAAAAUUACAAGGACAUGAAGCAAAUGAGCCAUGUUUAGUAUGGCAAUUUUGACCCAAUAAUUGUGGCAGGUCUUGGAGAUAACAUAGGCAUACACAUAAGGCAGAAGCAAAUACUGUCGCAAACUCCUAGCUAACUACAAAUGUUCCAUAUAGAAAAAAACACCUGCAAAAGUAAGGGAAAAAGCAACAGAUAAAGAACUCAAGAUGCUAGACCUGUAAGUGUGCAGAUCGCAGGUCUGCUCCACAGAAGCUGCAGUCUAUCAAGCAAGCAUCUGCAAUGAUUUAAGAUAAAUUUGAAUCCAAAUGACAUUUUACCGCAAGUAGUUCCAGCCAUUUUGGGAACAAACAAGAAAUGCUAUUUUGUAUUCAUUGUAAUUCCUUAAGCUAAAUAACAAUCAUGUGCUAUCUUAACCAAGGUACAGUUGCAAAUUCUGAAAUUGUGAUGCCAUAGGUUGUUCUUAAUCUUUUUGAACUGAAUAUUGAAAAAAUAUUCCUUCAAUCAUAAAUGUUAAAUAAUUAAAAGAACUGUGAGGGGGGNNNNNNNNNNNNNNNNNNNNNNNNNNNNNNNNNNNNNNNNNNNNNNNNNNNNNNNNNNNNNNNNNNNNNNNNNNNNNNNNNNNNNNNNNNNNNNNNNNNNNNNNNNNNNNNNNNGGGGGGGGGGGGGGGGGAAUGAAUAAGCGGAUGCAUACAGAAAAUUAUGGAAAAUCUGUUAUGGAAAUAAUAUGAAAAUGGGUAUGCAUAACUACAUACUGAAUCUUGACUAAUUUCAAUUUAAUUCAGAUAAGAAAUUCCAGUAUGGGAAUUGCCUUGUAAAUUUGCACUCUGAAGAUUUGCACCAGCUAGUAAAGCUCCACGAAGGUUUGCCCCAGCAAAUUCACAUCUUCCCUAGGCAAGAUAAAACCCUUAAAAGGCAAUUUUGAAAAAUACAUAUAAUUGGGAGAAUAUCCAGUAUUGCUUUGACUCUCUUACUCACGCAAAGUUGCAUUGUGAAAAAUGGAACCCUCAGCAUCCACAUCCUGUAUCAAGAACAGACAGAUUCAGUAUGAUUAAUAUAACUGGUUGCUGGAAGACAGGACAAAAUCGCAUCUUGUCACUGUCAACUUGCAUGUUAAGAAUUAAACACGAAAACUGCAUGCUGUCCAAUUAUAAGAAACCUAUAAAAUUCAAAUCAACAUCAAUACUGGCUUAAGGAAGAUAUAAAAAUAAAAAUUAUACCAACCCGAAAUUUCGCAGAUUGAAGAUUUGCACGUGAGAAGAAAACAUUUCUAAGACACGCAUAGCUGAAGUCCACAAGUGAAAGAUCCUGGCCAUUUUAAUAAGAUAGCAUCAGAGGAAACAAUAUCUAAUGAAUAUAUAAUGUUCUUUCUUGCUUAUCUGAGAAUACUAAUGAGAUUAUCAAAAAAACUCUAAGCUACUGCUAAGAAGUCUUGUGUUACAUGAGUAUGAAUUGAGGAGGUAAAGAAGACCCUUCUCCAAUAAGUUACCAUAGAAGCCACAUAAAACCCUAAAGCAGUUACAAACUUACAAUGACCAGAAUAAACCACCCCAACUAUCUAUUGGCAAGUAAAAUCACUUCUCUGGAUUUCUGAAAACUAGCAAAACAAAUGCAUAAAUUGGCAAAUUCGAUGAUUUCCUCUGAAAACCAAAUUAUAGCAGACAUAAAACUUGGAAGUAUUCAUAGAAUAAAAAUCUUUCAAGCACCUCAAUUCAGUAAUUAUUACCAGCUUAGAAAGAUCAAGGCCAGAAAGAUUAAGUCCUCGAAAUCUGACUUUUUCAGACUGUAUACACUUGAUGAUAUCAAUGCGUGUUAGCUCAGUAUCUAACUCAUUAUCUUCCUUUCUCUUAUUUAUGACAGCAUGGAUUCUCUCAAUUAGUCCCUGAAAUGAAACACAUUAGAUGCAAACUAUUAUUUGAAAAAAGAAAUACAUUUUAUCCACUAACACACAUGGAUUUCAACAGCAAUCAUACAAUAAUUGAGGAAGGACGGUCAUAUCAGACUCAUCUGCCAAGAUUCAAUAAGCACAUCAAACUUGUUUACAUGUAAUUUCCACAUUCCACGUGAAUUUAUAAGGUCUGCCUAAGCAAACCAAAGAAGGCUACACUCAGUACUGUGUGUAUACUGCCUUACCUUUGCUGUUCCCCAGAUACCGUCCUGCAAUCCAGAUACUUAGCUGUGAAGUUUCAAGCCAGCGAAACCAUUUUAAAAGUACACAUGGACACAGAUACCAUUAUCUGAAUCAUCUUCGAUAACAAAUUAAAAUGCCCUAGCGUUCAAAAAACUUAGGAUCUCUUUAAGUGAAGUUCCUUUAAAAAAGUAGAAAAAAACUGAACAACAAUGUCAUGCUAAUAAAAGGUAAAAAAAAUAAAAUAAAAUAAAGCAUAAGGACAGAAGUUCACCAGGAGCAUGCCAGUAUAAACCAAAACGACCACAAAUCUCAACCAUAAAAUUUAAAGUAGUAAAGUAAAUAAUCAAGGGCAUGCAGUUGGCACAGGUGCUUCCAAAUAAAAUGAUGAUUCUUUUCAAACAGAAAAAAGAAAUGGAUGUUAAUAAACUAGAAGAAACCAUGUCUUACAAGUAAUUGAUAAUAUUCUGCUUCCCGUAGAAGCUCUAAAAACUCUGACUCUGUUAAUGUGGGGACAGCCCCAUCCCUUAACCAAUUCAGAAUAUGCCGAAAAUGUUUUCCGUCCCUAUCAACAAAGAUAUAGCCCUGCAAUAAUUCAAUAUGCUCAAAGAUAAGAAUCUGAAUAAUAUACCCAAGAGAAGUGCUUUUCCCUGGAAUAAUAAAAAGAAAAUAAGUCAAAACGUUUUUCUUAAUGGAAGAACACAAAGGAACAGCUCUAUGACUAACAUGAAAACCAUAAAUCAGAAUAAGAACCCAAAACUGGUCAUUUGGAGUUUCACCAGAUCAAAAAGAUCACAUGGAAAUAAAAUUGUGAAAAUGGGAUUAUUUAUGCCGAGGUCAUGGCUAAACUGCAAUCAUUACUCCAUUUUUGGUAGAAGGAGAAGAAGAAAGAAGAGUAGGUGAGUCAUCAUUCUUUCAGGUGAGUCAUCAUUCUUUCUCUGUGAUUAAUUGAUAUGAUGGAAGUGUUGUAGAUAUUAAUUUGAUAGUGAUUCCUCCCUUCAAAAGAAUUCAUUCCUUUUUUUAUUAUUUCACAAAGUUUAACUAAGACUGAGUUUUCUCAAUUUGAAGGCAUCGUGCACUCUACCCCUUUCUUUUCCUCACAUUGCUUCUUCCCAAUCCCAAAGGGAAGAAAUCAAGAAACAAUUACAAUUUUUAACUAUUCACCAGCAAAAACAAGGCAAAGAAAGAUGCUGAGUGUAAGCAAAAAUAAGAGAGUUAUACACCUCAGAGUCUUGGCACACAGUAUGGCGACCGCUGAACAUAGCUGCAAGCAUAGAUUCAGGCUCACGACGAGUCAGAGUAUCAAUUGUUGUAUAAAAUUUCUUUCCCCCUGGAUAUUAAUACAUAAAAUAUAAAUUUGUUCACUUAAAAGCAUGAAUUGUGCAAAUUUGUCAAUAAUGUCAUUCUUUCACAAACGUUCACCGAAAUGUAUAACAAUAAGUGCAUCAUAACAUAACUAAACGGCUUAAGAACUGCGCAGAUAUUACAUACAGUAGAGAAACAAGAAAUAGAAAAUGAGAUUUGCCCUUUUUAAACAGAAAGCAAUCAAAGAGUAAACUAAAGAGCUAAUAAUUCACAAAAUUCAGUUGAUUAAACUCAUUUACAAGUAAUUAGCAACAAAAUCCAAGCUAAAUAAAAAUAAUGAAAAUUAGGUUCUUAUAACAUCCGUCAAUUCUAUGAAAGUUUACCACGAUCAGCAACAAAUAGAUAAAUCGCAAUAAAGAAAAACCGACGACAUGUCGGUUGUGUAGUGCAUAAGUAAAGGAAUUUGCAGAUGAUGUAAAGAGAAUGAGGGAUAGUAACUGACCGAUGUUGAGACGAACCAUUGAAGACGAAUCGGAGUCCUUCGCCAUUGUCGAGUGUAAUGACUUGUCGUCUUACUUGCGCUCAUAGGUAUUUAUAUCAUAGCUGACACUGUUCGAAGGACAGCAAGGAUUUGGUGGGCACAAAUGCAUUUUGGAAAUUGGGCUUCGGCCCAAGAAAUCGAAAAUCAGAGGCUUUUUUUUAAAAAAAAUUUAAAAGGAUUAGAAUGUCUAUAAAUUAAUAGGGCUGAGACCAUCUUAAAUCUAUUAAGUAAAAGAGAUAUUAAAUAUUUUAUUAAUUAAUAAUUUAUUAAUUUACAGAAUUAUUUAUAAUUCAAUUAACAUACAUUUAAUAACUAAACAUUCAAUGUACAUAAUUUCUGAUUACAAUUCAAAGCACUAACAAUACUUCAUAAUUUCUUAUUACAAUUCAAGAAUUCAACCUCAUAGCUUUUAGAUGCAAUAAGAAAAAUAAGAAAUAAGAUUCAGUUAUAUUUAAAUUUUAAGAAAAAAACAAUAAAAUCAUAUUUUAUGUAAUUAAAAUAUCAUAGUCAACUACAUUUGUAAUUUCAACAAAUUAUUACUCUAUGAUUUAAAUGAGACCACAAAGUUAUAUAAGAUUUUAUCGAAAUUAUUAAUUUAAUCCAUUAGUCCAUGUCAAGACCUUGAAAAUUUAAUAAUUAUAUAAUAGAGAUUAUUAAUUUAUCGAGUAUUAAUUUAUAGAAGUUCUGAUUGUAUAUUAUUUUAUAUUAAUAAAGAAUAAAGUAGCAUUCUUUUUUAAUUCCGAAGUAAUAAAAUUAUGGCUAAAUUAAGAGAGUAGAUAUAUUUUAUAACUUGGUUUAAUAACAUCACGCGCCUCCCUUGUAGUUUUGCAGCUUUGAAGCUUUAUAAUGAAUCCUAUUAGCUUUGGCUGGAAAGUUAUAUUGUUAAAGAGAGUUUAUAUAUUAAACAAGGUGAUCUAAUAUUUCCAAAACUAAAUUUGGGAUCAAAAAUAGAAAACAUUUGCAUGUUUUUACCUUUUGGAAGAAUUACUUGAUAAGUGCUUCACAGAAAAAUGCUUGCUAUUAUAGAGCACCCUAAAAAAAAUCCUUAAUAAUUGAGGGAUCAUAAUAAAGUUCAAUUCUAAAUCUGUCAGAUAGAUCGAAAGUAACAAACCAUAUAUAUUUAAAUCUAUUUAGUAAUCCAGGGUUACAAGCCAAGCGUGCAAUAGCCAAUUCUGAAAAUCAAAGCUCAGCCUAUGCUCUCUGAGCACAAAUAAGAUCUGAUAUAUACAUAUCGAAUCCUCCAUUAUGUGGAGUGAAAUUUCCAUCGUGUACGGUGUACCUAACAAUGAGAAAGCAUGGCAGCAUAAAUUCAUCUUCCAUGUUAUUCUACUUAUUAGUACUGGUUCCCUCAUAACUUCUCCAAAUCGGGGAGGUCUGCAAUGUGUAAAGCACGUAAUCAGAUAAAAGAAAGAGAGCCAAAAAAAAAAAAAAAGGUAACAGCCAAAAGAUUAAAUUUCUUUGAGAAAUAGAAAAUGGGAGCUUUUGGCAUAGGCACAGAAUAGAAAGUAACAGAGUCAUUUACAGUUGUUCAGAAUAUGCAAGCUGAAAACAACUUUGAAUGCAAUGGACAAUUCCUCCAACAAACAAUCGAAUUGGAUUGUGGAAGAGACAAAAGCUUAAUGAGGUUAUGGUUUUGGCUAGGUGAACUCAAAAUUCUUUUAUAGACCAAGUAGGUAAAAACAAAUCCCAUAUAGAUGGAUGAACCUCAUACCAUGAACAGUUAAUCGCGAACACUUGCAGGCUUAUGCACACGACUAUGAAGAUACUAAGGGUUUCACCGAUGGUAAGUGAAAAAUAUAUGAUGUAUAAUUUAAAUGGAAGCACAUAGUUUCGGAUUGAAUUCAAGGUUAAAGUUCCACAGACAGACAGAAGAGAUGAAGCUUAAAAACUUACAGAGCAUUCCUUCAUCAUCACUGCUUUCAUCAUUUUGGCCAACAUGCUGAAAAAAGAAUAUGAUUCAAGUUAAAUGAUUGAGCAACAAUAAAAAACGUGCAAAAUUAAUGCUCUCUCCACAAAAAUUUCAGUCUAUAUUGGUAAGAAGAAACAGGAAGAAAAAAUUACCUCAGCAUCAUCGUCAUUGGAAGCCAAAUCAGCUGUAAAGACCACAAAAUGUUUGGUUAGAACCAGUGGAAGUCUUACUCUAAAAUUUUUAAUUUUUGAAUUUCGAAAGAUCUCGUAAUGACAAAGAUUUUCAUAUCCAGUGACCAAGUUUUGAAAAUUAGAAUACGGAAUGACAUCAACUAAAUUCACUAAUAUAAGCUAGAGGAAUCCCUAGUAGAUAUAGCGCACAUGCACACAUGAUAUGCAUCCGAAUACACAAUAAUAAAUUAUCUCAAAGUCAAUAAGAAGCCAAAAUUAGAGAUAAACUUUUAGCCACUAUAAGGAAGACUGAUAUUUGCAGUGUGAUUACAAUAAACAAACAGAAACUUCACUACCCAUAAGUAAAACAAAAUAAAUAAAGGAUAAUAACUAACCAAGAAAUGGAAAAGCUCACAUUCUCUGAACACGCACCCCAAAAAGAAAGAAAGAAAUAAAUGUUCUCAUUGGAUCUGAAGCACAAGCAAUCCACUGACAUCCUUCUAUAAUUAGGUAAUUUAAAGGGGUUAAGCUCACAUCUUUUACGGAAGUAAGAAGAGAAUUAACAACCUUCCAGAGGAUUUAGGGAAAUACCACGAGGCAAGAAAAAAGAAAUAUCCUUCUUCAAUCUAGAUAUCCUGAUACUGCUCACCAUCUACAACAGUCUGUGGCUUAAAAAGCAGGUCACUGAUCUCUCCCUCCCUCUGGCACCAUUUUCUCUCAUGUCUCAUUUUUCCCUUCCUGCCAACUCCCACUACAGUAUUGAAACCUAUUCUAUCAACUCUUCCCCCUCCAAUAACAAGACCAAAACCAAUUUUACUCGCCGGUUAGCUAGGUAGUAAAUGGAAAUUUGUGAAUCUGUCAUUCAUCCGUAGAAACAAACCAGAACUGCAUAAAUUCUCUUCUCUCCCAACAGCUUCUUUUCUCCAGAAAUAGGCACAAGUAUUUGACAUGGAAACAGUUUAUCUAACAUGGCCACCUUUAAAGACAAAGACAUACUAAGGACGUGGUUUUAGAUACGGAUACAAGAAACAAUCACAAAAUGUAAAAUCUAUACAUAUGAUAUUAAUUUCCAAUGGAUACAGCAAUUCAUUCUUUGACAUAACUUCAUCAGAUUACUAGGUUUGAUUAGGUUAUACACACAUUUAUUCAUUUAUUGAAUCUACAUGCACUUAGAAUGAGAGGUACCUAUAAAAACAAGUUACCAGAAAACAAUACAGCUAGAAAACAUUAAUCUAAGUAGUUCUAUAGGUUUAACUAACUGCAGGAAAAAACCAUUGAUUUUGUCCGCCAGAUUAUCGAGAUCCUAAUUCUGGUAAAAAGAAAAUGAGAUAAUAGAAAAUCAAAAAUUAAAUAGACACAAAAUGAGAAAUCAAGAUCAUAUGGCAACUAAUAUAUAGCAUGGGCUGCAGCUAACAAGCAAUAUAAGCCAUGAUAUUAUGCCAGAUACAAAUUUUGAGAUCCAAGAGAGAUCAAGAAGCAUGAAUACCACUAAAAUAUCGAAAGAAGUGAGUGCAGAAGGAUAAGAAAUCAGGUUGAUAUUCUUCAUACUUUGGAUCAACACGUAGUGAUGCAAUAAACUUGUAAUUAGCUUCAAAUGUAUAGGCUACCAUGUCAACAUUUCCGAAAACACACAAGAUUGUGCUGGAUUCAUACAUAGUACAUAUAUAAAAAAACAAUCUGCUUCUAAACUUCAUGAGAACAUCGAAUAAUGAACUUACAAUUUGAUCCCUCAUCAUCUUCAUCGCACCAUUUGUUCCAAUCAACCUUAAUGUAAGGUGCUGGUUUCUCUUCUGACUUGAGUAGCCUUUUCCACCAACCUUUCUCUUCUUUUUGGACCGAGCAUAUUAUGUUCCUUAAGCCAACUUUAGUCUUACAUUUCUGCACCACCAGCAACAAAACUCAAAGCAUUACAAAAGAGGUAUAUUUAGCCGCUCUUGACUCGAGUGAGAGAACAGGAUAAAUAGCCUAGGUAUAUCCACAUCCAUGUUAUGAGAUUGAUUAUGCAACAGCUAACUUUAAUAUAAAGCUUUUGCUUCAACAAAGACUAAAAUGUUUGUAAUUGUUAUGCUUUUGGAGCUAAAAUGUUUGGCAAACACCCACUUUUACUCUGCACCUAAUAUCUACCACCCACCCACACACUAAGUCUCUCGUUUGGUACAGCUAUUUAUCAGUAGUGGCUUUAAGCCACAACAUUUAAAGCGAAUUUACCCUAAAAUUUUACAAUGAAAAACCUAUACUACCUUUAACAUUGUUGUCAAAAUUAUUAUUAUAAGUAAUAUUUACCAAACACUAUCAACUUCCAAUUCAUAUCAAAGAGCUUUCACUCCACAAUAGCCGUGUCUUCUUAAGCCAGAACAACACAAUACCAAAGGCCUUAAGCUAGUGAUUUGAUUUCACAACAACUGCAGAUCAAGCCUCAAUCCCAAACAUACAUAAAUCAAAUGCAGAAAGCAAAAAUUUAACAAUAUGUUUGGUAUACUAAAUGUCUUUCAUAGUUUCAUUUCACAGGGUAUUUAGACAUGCAAUGAUAAAUUGGAGCAAUUUCAAGAACCGAAUUGACCUCAGGUAAAAUUUUGCCAAAAAGUUCCAAGCUGAAGUCGUAAAGCUCGCCUUGGACUCCGACGGCCGAGAAGCCAAAAAUCCCCUGAGGCUCGCAUUUCACAGAAAUGUCUUUCGCAUCGGGUAAUGAAAUGGUAAGGUAUACUUUAUCGGAGCGCUGAGCCCAAAGAACCUCCGGAUGGCGACUGAACAUAAAAGAAAUAAUAAUAAUAAUAAUAUUAUUAUUUUUUAUUGUGACAAUUUUGAACUAAUAAUUAGAGACAUUUAACAACAAUAUUGAUUAAUAUUGGAGAAGAAAAAUAAGGUUACAAGAGAGAAUCAGAAAGAUUACCUCAUUCUGGUGGAUGAUUGAAAACGGUGGGUCGAUUGAUGAACAGAAGUGUAACUGUCUGGGAGUGAGAGUGACUCUGCUGUUUACUGGGUAGAGUGUGCUUACUCGAAGAAAUUGAAAGUGAUAAUCUCGGGCAAGCCAACACGUCGAUUUGGUCAACAGUGGUCCAACAAACCAGGAACUAGGUUUUUUUUUUUAAAUGAUUUUUUUUUUCAGUAUUAUAUUGCCCCGCCCGUGGGCUAUUACAUUUUGGCCCUUUUGGGGACCCCUCGUUCUCUUACAAGAAGGGAAUAUUCUUUUCCAUCCACCGGUUUGUAGGCAGAGUACAUAUACUCUUCGAAAUUAAGGACAAAUUUCUGAAUCGUGCCGCAUUAGAAUUAAAUUGAGUCUCAAAAGAAUUUUGGUUAUAAGUAUAUCGUUCAAACGGUAAUAUAUUAAAAAAAAUAAUAUUUACUACAAUGUAGACCUAUCGGGACUUUGAAGCCCAGACCAAUUCUUGAGUCUAGCCUAAUAACACCUCAACAGAUCAAAAUUGAAAUCCAACUUAAAUUUCAAUAUUGUGUAGGGAUCUGCCUUAAUUUAGAUAUGUCAAGACCUGCCUUAGGCAUCAAAGUGAUCUAUCUUAACAUAACUAAGACUUUCUUUAAACAUCACAAUGAUUUAUCUUAACGUAGUCAAAUCUAGCCUAAAAAAAUCUAAAGAAGGAAAAAAGAAAUUAUUUUCACGUAUUGAGAGACUUAAAUUCUUAACCUUAUUCAUAAGAAAAAAAAGUGUAUUACUUAACUAAAUCGUGACUAAAAAUUAUAAUUAUUAUUUUUUGUACAUUUAGCUUUAAAAAAUCAUUAUAUAUAUAUAUUCAUAUAAGUUUUGACAUAAUAUACAUACCACUUAUUUGUUUUUUAAAUUAUACGAGAAUGAAAAAACUCAAGCAUUAAACACCAACUUUUGUUUCAUGCUAUCAAUCAACUUGAGAAAUUUUAUAAUAUAUCGGAAGUUCUACGUCACAAUUUAAUACGAAGCCUUCGAUUAAUAAUAAUUAGACACAUGACAAUAGAUGCUAGAGAAAUUUUAAAUUCCCUCUUUUCAUUAUCCCUCCAAAUUUAGAAUUUCAAAAAAUUAGAGAAUAAAUGUUGCUUGCUCUCUUUGUUAUCUAAUUCUAAUUAUUAUUUUUUUCUCUCUCUCUCCAAUCAAGUUGCUAGCAUUUUUUAAAUCUAUUGAAGAAUAAGAAGAAGGUUUUUGUCGAUGAAAUGAUUUUGGCAGCCUUUUUUACCCAAAGCUAACAUGAUUGCUGCGACUACCAAUGAAGAAAAAGAUGUGUUUUGCUGGCGAAGAAGAUGAUUUUUGAAGCAUGAGUGGCUGCCGUUUAUUUUUUUCCUUCAUAUUUUUCGAUGUAGUGGCUGUCCUCAAGUUUUAUUCAUUUACUUUUCAGUUGGCCUACUAUUUAUUGGCAUAAUGAAAAAUUUUAUUUUAAUAAGCAUUUAUAGAUUAAUUUGAGGAGGUUUCUUUUGCAAUAUUAGUGUGGUUUCUGCAUUGGUAUGAUUUAAAUUACGAACUUGCUACAAUCUUUAAUUAAACUGUCAAAAGUAAUUUAAAAAAUCUUUAAUUAAACCGUCAAAAGUAAUUUAAAAACUGACAGUAGAUAGAUUAGAGAUAGGCUUGACAAUUUAGCCCGACUCUAUUUUUAGUCUGAUUGAUCCGAUCCUAAUUUUUAAGACUUUGGCCUGAAUUUUUUGAUUUCGGGUCGGGUUCGGGUCAAAAUUUUAAGGCCCGAACAAAUUUAGGGUCAGGGUCGGACUUAAAACCAACCCGACCCGACCCUAUUUAAAAAAAAAAAAACUAACACACGCACACAACACAUGACAGUUCACUCUCUCUAAAUCGUAAAUCACACACACAAAAUACACUUACACAAAUUCACAAAAACCCUAAGCCAGCCACCCAGCCUGCUGCCGUCCUAUCAGCCAACAUCGUGACCGUCCGCCGCACGCCAGCCAAUCAGCCGUCGUCUCGUCGUCGCAUGUCUCACCAAUCAGCCAUCGUGACCGUCUGCGACGCUGCGACAUGAACUUGAACCAGCCGCCCUUUGUCGCCGUCCUGCCGCAUCCGCCUGCCAGCCAACGAUCAAUGCACACAGUUGAAUUGUGGGGUGGGAAAUGGUUUCGAUAGGGUCGGGCUCGACCCGACCCUAACUAUAAAGAGGUAGGGCUUUUUUAGGGUCGGGUUUUAAUUUUUUGUUGAUCGGGUCGGGUCGGGUUUGGCCAAACCCGAGCCCGACCCGACGUUUUGCCAUCCCUAAUUAGAGAUGAAGAUUGGAGAGAGAGAAAAAUAUAAUUUGAAUGAGAUAAUAAAGAGAGAAGAAAUUCUAUAAUACAUCAUAAGUAAUAUAACUCAUUGAUGUAUGCAUGAUAUAUGUAAUUAACCUUAAUAUAACUAACACUUGUAUGGUGAUAUUUCAAAAUAAAUAUACAUAUGUUAUAAAAUCAUUUACUUAUUGUAUGACUGACAUUUUAUUUUUGAUGUAUUGUACAAUUUCUCAGAAGAGAGUAGUAUUUAUUAUCUCUAAUUUUUUGAAAUUCUAAAUUUUGGAAGGAUAAUAGAAAGAGAAAUUUUAAAAAUUUUUCAACGUAUAAUGCCAUGUAUCUAAUUAUUAUUAGUCGGUGUUCCACGUUAAAACGUAAUAUAGAACCUCUGGACCUUACUGUAUAAUGUACUGUAGAAUUUCCUGAUCACACACUUUCUCAGUUGCAAAAGAGGUGGGCAUAUGAGUUCCUUACGGGGAUUUAGUGUGAAUCCACGCAAAGCCCAUAUAGAUUUUUCCGGUUAACCGCUAUGGCAUCCUAGUUUUAAACUCAGUACUAAAUUUACAGAUCCAUUUAAACCCCCCAAAUCAGUCUCUCACCGUCUCAAGUCUCAAACAAAAAACCUGACCGGAACCCAAACCGCCAAAUCCGAUUCGAUGGUGGACUGUGCUAAAACCCCUAAAAUUCCAAGACUGACAUGCGGUAAAGGAGAUGGUGAUAGACUUAGCAAUCUUCCGGAGCACAUCAUUUAUCACAUAUUCUCGUUCAUGGAAACAGUUGAUGUUGUUAGAGCAAGCACUGUUUCGCGAAGAUGGAGGUACUUGUGGCUUUCCGUUCCUUAUUUGAACUUCGACUAUCACACAAUUUGGUCAGACCCGGAAAGUAGAUGGUCUCGUAGGAAAAUCAAUGAUAAGUUCAAAGAUUUUGUCAACUGGGUAAUAUUUUCUCAAAAUGGGUCUGUUAAUAUUCAAAGAUUUCGUCUUUGCUGCUGGGAUUAUUUAGCAAGUUACGAUAACGAUAGAACGAUUUACAGAUGGGUUUCUGCUAUGGCACGUCGAAACGUGCAAGUGCUUGAUCUGGCUAUAGCUUCACUAUACCCAUUUGAGUUUGACUUGCCACAUAGUCUUGUAACUUGUGAUUCAUUGGUGGAACUGAAGUUGAGUUUGAGCUUUCAUGUUCACCGAUGUUUUUUAAAGCUGCCUACUGCUGCUGGUUUUAUUGGGCUCAAGUCUCUUGAUUUACAAAGUGUUGCGUUGGAUGAUAAUUUGUUUCCUGAAUUUAUUUCAAAUCUUCCCCUGCUUGAGAAUUUGUGUAUGUUGUCAUGUGUUUUUCCUGAAUUGAAGGUUCUUGACAUUUCUUCCACUAAUUUGAAGAAUUUGGCUCUGGAAUCCAUUGUUGGCAAUGAUAAUGCUGGCAAUGAUGAUGCUGGCAAUGAUGAUGCUGGCAACUACAAGCUUAAGAUUGCUUGUCCAAAUCUUGUGUCUUUUAAUUAUAUAGCUUUAGCUCCAUGGUUACCUCACUUUGCUUUUGAGAGCUUAAACUCCUUGCAAAAUGCAUUCAUUGACCUGGAUGAUUAUAACGAGGAUGACAUGGAGAACGAAAGAUGUCAUGUUUUAUCUACAAUCUUCAAUGACUUUCGUGAAGUUAAAGUUUUGAAAUUAUCAGAAGCCAUUCUUCUCGAGGUAUGAUUUCAAAUACAUUCAUUGCACCAAAUCAUGAUUCUGCCAGAACUUGUCUACACUUUUUUAUUUUGACAUUAGAAAUGAAGCUUAAGUAAACUGAAUCUACUUUCUUUGUUUGGUAAAAUAAGAAUUCUAUUGAUUAUGGAACCUUCCUAAAUGCUAAUUUGUUCUUUAGACUGUGUAUAAGUCAUUGUGACAUUGUAUGAAGUCUCAUUUAUCUGAGUAAUCAAUUGUUAUUGAUGUCAAAGACUAGAACUCAUUGGUGACUUGAGUUUAUGUAUAUUAUCGUUUGUUAGAUUUUUUGUGUGAUUAUUGCACUUAACUUGACUAAUGUAUUCUCUUUCUUUUUGCCAUUGUUCCUCCAGGUUCUUGAUCCUGAUCCUGCUCACGAAGAACCAGCAUUUUUUUCCACUUCAUUCAAUAAUUUGAAGUCCUUAAUACUUUCUGCAGGUCCGGGUGUAUGUCUCAUGCCAUCAAUGCUUAGGUUGCUCAACUGCUCUCCAAAUCUAGAAGCUCUUGCAAUAUAUUCUCCUAAGGUAAUCUUAACACCAAAAACUAUUCCAUUUGUUAGAUACCGUCGCUUCUAUCCAUUUUUUUUAAAAAUCAUAUCUCCCAUUUAUGUGCUAAAAUUUUAAUUUUGUUAAAGUGCAACUGGGCUUUGCUUAAAUUAUCGCAAUAGAGUUGAAACCUGAAAGUAUUUGUGAUAUAUUAUGUUUACCGCUUAGAGCUUAAAGUAAAUGUUAAUCUUGUGGCCUCUUGGUUGUUCCCAUGCUAUUGCUUGUUGAGCAGAUGGUUGAAUUUAGAGUCAAUCAAUCGGUUGUGUUCUUCUGAGGUUUGUGCAAGUUUUGUAAAAGAGCAAAGUUUAGUAUUUGUUUAGUUUGUGAAAAUGAUAUAGCUUUUUCUAAUUCAUCUUACUCUAUUCUUUGCUUAAAAAUGAAUUCUCCUUUUGAUUUGAUUCCUUGACUGCAUUUCGGUCUGUUUUCUCUUGGCAGCAUCGGCGUGGAUAUAAUGCUUAUAGGAAAACACCGAACAAGGCUGCUAUUUCAUGUUUGACAAAUCAUCUCAAGACAGUUGAAAUAAAACAUUUUAGCGGUGAUAUGAAUCAACUUGAAAUUGUGAGGUUUCUUCUAAGGAAUGGACAUGUAUUGCAGAGAAUGAGUAUUAGAUGGGUGGCAGAUGUUAAGAAUCAAGGGAAGAUUAUCUCAAGGAUAAUGAAGUUUCGGAGAUCAUCUUCAAGUGUUGUGCUGAAAUUCCUAGAUCCUAAGCCAGCUGAUGAUUUUUCAGAUUAUUUAUUUGAUGAUGAGCAAAAGAACUAAAAUUAUGUUUAAAUUAAAAAAAAAAAAAGUGGUUUAAGUGUAUGUUCGAAUUAAAUAGUCUUUUGGAUUUGUAGAAACUGAAAGGAGUACAGUGCCAGUCACUGUGGCAGCCUUAUGUUUUGUUUGAAAAAAUUCGGAAGCUUCUAAAUUGUUAUAUACCUCAAUUCUGAAGUCGUUAGUAUGUAUAUUAUAAGCAAUACAUAUGUUCCAUUUGUCAUAUUUUAUUUUGGCAUUACGAUUGUUUUGUCUUGAUUAAUAUUGAUUAUAAUUUGUUUAACAUUUAUCUGGCAUAUGUAGAAUUAUACUUUAUCUGAGUAGAUGACGCUGCUGCGUACAUCUUCAGGACUCGGUCAUAAACUGUUUAUCUCUGCGUCUGUCUAGCAUCCAUCCACGUAUGACCUGUCGGCUUUUUGCCCGCAAGCAUACAGUUAGGGGUGGUAAAAAUAUCUGUCCGGUCUGGAUUCGGUUCGCACCCGGAUGUUUUAUCCGGCCCGGUCUUGGGCAUCAUUUGAUAAAUUCGGAACCCGAGUUUUAUUAAGCGCCUUGGCCGUACAGCAGUAUAUUAUUUUAAAUAUUUAUAUUUAUUUGACUCAUUUAUUACAUAUAUAUAAAGUUUUAGACACUUAAAGUUUAUAUUUUCAUGUCAAAUUUCAUUAAAAUAAAUUUAAAACUUAUAAAAUUACCAAAAAAUAAAAAAUAUAUACAUAUAUAAUAUUAAAAAAUAUAAAAUCUGGGUACCCAAAUUAAAACCCGGCACAAUCCGACCCAGGCAUCUAUGCAUCCGGGUCGGGUCCGGUCAUUACGAUACCCCGACCCAGCCCAGGGUUUUGCCAUCCCUACAUGCAGUGUAUAUGAAUUGCAGUUCUUGUACGGACAACAUGUCAUCCAUAAAACUCGAGUUAUGUUCUUUUUAAUCUUUAGUUUAGAUUACAUUUUGCAAAACUAAUAAACGAUAGAGCUCCUAGCAAGGUCAAUAGUUAACUGCGAAUCCAGAAGAUCGGAAUGCUAUACCUUUCAAACAUGCAUUUCAAAGCCAUCUGCGGAAAUGGAAAACAAGCAUUUCAAACUCGUUGUUAAAACAAUGAUAAAAGUAAUUUUAAUCCUAAUUUUUAAUUCCAGGCAUGAAGCUAACUCAUAUACAAAGAGAUAUCAAGUAAGCAGAGGCGAAAGCUAAAAGCUUUGGUUACAGGGGUCGGUGUGAAUAAUGUAUAUAUCGUUUAGACAUAUUUUUGAAUAUCUAUUUUAAUUUAGGGGAUAUUAUAUAUAUUUAAAAAAAAUUAAAAUUUUUACGGGAGCCAUGGCUUACUAUAGUCUCCAUUAAGAUUCACCCUCCCUACUUUUCGUACUUCAUUAAAGUAUAGGAUAAAUAUUUACAAUAUUAUAAAUAGAUUUUAUAAAAGCAGUCCAUAUAUGAAAGUCCUUCUGCACUCUGAAUUAAAUAAAAAUAACGUGAGACUAACAAUUUAAGAGUCUUUUUUGCAACGUAUAUCGUGCAGUGAUGUACUCUAUCGACGGAGGACUCUCUUCAUAUGCUUUUUAUUUUUCCAUGCCUGAUUAUAAAUAGGAUCACUCUAUGUUACAUUAAACGUAACGUACACACACUCACAACAACAGUAACAAGUCCCAUCAUUAGAACUGUUGCUGUGAGUGCGUGUAUGUUACGUUUAACGUAACAUAUCACUAGCCUUAUAAAUAACAUCACUUUUAAGGAUUUUUACAAAUUUUUAUUACAACCGUAACUUUUGUCCUCAUACAAUAACGGUGUCCAUUGUCCACAUAUAAAAAGUUCAUCAAUAAACAUAUAACCUAAUUAAAAUUCGUGACAAAAUCCAAAGGAAAGAAAGCGUGGAGUAAUAUAUAUAACAAAGGCAUUGAGCAUACACCAGGUGUAAUUUGCAUUGCAUGGCCACCCUUACGUGGCAGUUCCGCCGAUUAACACAUCUUUAAAAGUUAAAGCCCCCCUCUCUCCUUGUUAAGGGCGUUUCAACACAACACUCAUCAAUGCAAGCAAAGAGACAGUGAAGGAAAAAUUAAGAAACCAAUAUUGUCACUUGGAAGAAAGAAACAAUCAUUACAUAUAUAAUACGAUGGAUACUAAGAACAACAGGAAGCAUUUGUCCUGCAUUGCCAACGACGUCGUUCACAGAUGUGCACUGUACGUAUCUCUCUCUCUCUCUCUCUCUCCUUUUCUUUUUCUCCCCGAUCACUUUGUUUUCUUUAUAUAUACGAAUGUAUGUAGAACGUAGUAGGUUUUGUAUAAAUAUCUGUUGCACACAUUAUUUGAUGUGCAUUUAAAUAUAAUUAAUGGUAAUUGAGAUGACACACAAAGACAAUGCAAAAAAAGAAAAAAAAAGAGAGAGUAAAUUAAUGAAUUUGCCUUGAUCCAGUUAAUUUGUGUGCAUUUAGCUGACUGUAAGGUGGUUUCGAGUGUGUUUUUGUUUGGCAACUUUUCACACAAAAGCACUUUUGGGAAGCACUUUAUGUAAUGUAAGUGCCUCUAAAAACUGUUUUAUGUAUUACUGCCAAAUGCAGUGCAGAGGUUACAAUGGGAGGGUCGGUUUUAUACCUGUUCUUCGAGACUUAAUUUCAAUAGGAGAUUGAAAUAUUUAUGAGAAUUAUGUUGUUAGCAGACUUAAUUCUUUUGGAGGAAUUCAUUCCAUCGUAGACCACUCAAUGAAUUUGGUCGAUUGAGAUUAUUUGAGUGCAUGCUUCAAAACUGGAGCAUUAAUUCUUUGACAUAAAUGGGCUUUAACAUAAGGCGCGUUCGCUUAUUCCAUUUAUUCAAGAAGUUGGCACUCAAUUUUUUAUUACUAGCCUUUAGAUGGCCAGCAGCCUUUUGUAGCCCUUUCUAGUUUCUACUAAAGUGGUUAUGUGCAAUAGUUCUAUUCUGGGUUGCAAAAUUAUUGUGUCAGUAGAAUCCACAUACAUUAUGUACUUUUCUGUAUUUAAUUUCAAGAGGCUUAGUUAUAUCAUAGUUUUAGGAUUAUAAUAAGUCUGUCCGUUACCAUGUUAUUGGAAUUUUUUUUUUUUUCUAAAUUAGUUGGACACAUUAUUGGAUUGGUCAAUAAAGGAAAGCAUUUGGCAAGUACUUGGUUUGAUAUUAACAUAUAGUUGCAGUAAAGCACAUUAACUUGUGCAUCCUGAAAUUCUUGCAGGCAAGUAAAGGCUUCUGAGGAUUCAUUGGUGGAGGGGUUUGAAGCUGAAUGGAAGCCUGAAAUCGGACAGUAUUCGAAGAAAUUUGUGGAAUAUUGCAGCAUAAAGGCUCUUACUAACAUGUGCCAGAGCAUAGAAGAAAAGAUUAGUGAUGGAUCAUUUAGUCGACUCACAUUUGAUAUGAUGCUUGCCUGGGAAAUGCCUAGUGCCGCCGAUGAGGAGUCUCAUACUGUAAGCAAUCAUCAUAAUACUCAUAUCCUAUAUUUAUUUCAUGGUCCACCAAAUCAUUAUGAUAUUAUCCCAAUUUUGGUGUGCCUAUCUUCUCUUCAAGUUGCUUCUUCUAUUUCUUUUUCAUUAUACAUUCUCUGGUUCUCAUCAGUUUUCGCUCCAAUUAAAAGAAGCAUGAAUUCUUUCACUUAUCUGCUGAAUCUGUUCUAAUGAUUGGGCAAUAGAUUUUUAUUCCUCUCUGUGGUUACUACUAUUUUGAUCUUGUGCAGGAGUGCAUGGGAAAGGAGAAUGAGGAUAGAAAGGCUGUAAAAGUCACUUCAGAUCAUGAUGAAAUUCCUCUCUUCUAUACAGACAUCAUGCCUCUUCUAGUAAGAGCGUCUCUUUCUGAUCAUUUGAGUGCUAAUGUACCGACCAAGCAUUAGCCUUCACUGAAACUCGUAUAUGAUUUCAUGAACAUUGAUUAAUUGUUAUUUUUGCUAACUACUCUAUGAGAUCUGAUCAAAUUAGAUAUAUAAAUGUUGCGAUUGAUCUUGGAUUUGCUUUAUAUUUGGCCAUCAAUUAUAUUUUACUCUUCAUUUUUAUAUUUGUUUGGUUUGAUAAUUUACCCUCUGGCCCAUAUAUAUGAUGGUAGGUUAAUAAUGAACCGAGUGUUGGAGAAGAUGCAUUUGUAUGGAUGGGAUCCUUAGUUCCUCUAGUUUCAGAUGUUAUUAAUGGGAGAUUUACAUAUGAAAUUCUGACAGCGCCAACAGGAAACCGGCUCCAUUCUCCAGCAUAUGAUAUAUUUCUAAAGGAGAUGGACAAGUAAUUCUUCCAAUUCUUCCAUGCAGCAAUUUUACCACUCAGAAACUUUAAGUGCCGUUUGGUUUUGUGACAUGCAAAUUAUCAUGGAACACUCAAAAUGAGUUGUUCUUAACAAUUUCUAGAAUUUGCAAACUCACUAACCAUAUCUGAAAAUGCAGAAGCAUUAUUACCACUUAUUGAUAACAAUAUCUCUGCUCGACUUGUUUGGGUGCUUUCAGCCGUUUUUCAUUUUCUUUUGGAAAUCUUGAUUUCAUAGAUGCAUAAAACAUUUGCAAAAACAAGCAACUCCAAAGGGUGUUGAGCUGGCUGACGAUGAAUUUAUACUGCAUGUGGAGGGAACUGCAAGCACACAGAGAGUAGUGCGCCAUAUUGGGAAAACAAGUUGGCCUGGUAUGUCUUUAGUUUGAUGUCUUACAUCUUUUUAACUGCUGUAGAAAUUGUUACUUGGAUUUUACUAAUCAUAAUUGUUGUCUCUAGGUAGGCUCACACUGACAAAUUAUGCGCUCUACUUCGAGGCUUCGGGAGUAAUAACAUAUGAAGAUGCUCUAAAGAUUGACCUCUCAAAAGAUGCUGAACUAUCUGUUAAACCAACUGCCACAGGUCCAUGGGGUGCUCCGCUUUUUGACAAGGCAAUUGUAGUCGAGUCCCCUGAACAGUAAGCAUAGUUGCACUUAUAUGAAAUUACUGGAGCUAUUAGCAUCGUUAUUCUUAUUUUAAAAAUUGUUAAAUGCUUGGUAGUUAUCCCAUAAGCUAGAUUUUAAAUGCAUAACAUACAAGGCAGACAUCAGAAAGCAUUCUGAUUCGUUUAUUAAAGUUUGUCUUUUAUUAAGCUAAAGAUAUUAAUGCUGCUAGAUUUUUCUAAUUUGGUUGUAGAUAUUGGUUAGUUACACUGUCAAAUGAGCAAAUCUCGUGGAUAUUUCAUAGUGUGGUUAUGCAAUUGUUUUUUGCCCUUCACUUUUCUAGAUCUGAGGGAAUUGUCCUGGAGUUUCCAGAGAUAACUAGCUCGACAAGGCGUGAUCAUUGGCUGGCCCUCACAAAGGAGAUAAUGUUAAUGCACAAAUUCCUGUCAAAAUUCAAGGUGGAAUGUCCAAUACAAGCAUGGGAGAUGAAUGCAAGGACAAUACUUUGCAUCAUAAGACUCCAUGCAGCAAGAGAAAUGCUGAGGAUAUUGCCUCCAGAUCCCACAAAAUUCUUGAUUUUUGCUUUGUAUGAUGAGUUGCCAAAGGGAGACUACGUGCUAGAAGAGCUUGCUGAGAGUCUGAAGAAAGUUAAUUGUGGACAUCCUUCCAGUGCUAGCUCAAUUCUGAGAUGUAUGAACCUGUCAAUUGCCGCAAGUGGAGAAGUAAAAGAAGGAAAAGAACUGGAGGAACAUAAACAUAUAAGUGAUGAAAGCUGUUCAUCACUGGAAACUGCCAUCAAUCAAUCUAAAGAGCAAGCAAAGGCAAUUGAAAUUGCUAAGUCUACCACUGAGGGCCUGAAAGAUGAAGGGAUCAGUGAUAGUAUCCUUGUUCUCUUGGUAUGUUUUUACUUCCAAAUUGUUGUUUAUGCUGCUGAUUUUAUAUUGACAGAAUAAGUAAUGACAUCUCAACAAAUCAUGGUAUUGAGAGCUUGUUUGACAUUUAUCAAACACAGCAAAGAAAUUGAAUUUUAUGAAAUUCCUAUAGCACCCUAUAAUUUGUACCAAAAAAUCUCUGCACCUUUGGCAUGCUGUAUGGUAUGGAAGUAUAGCUGUCUCAGAGAGGUUACUGUUAUUUACUUUAUUUGGUUUUGUAGUAUUGAUGUUAAGUUUGAUUUAAUAAUGUAGGAGCUACUAAAGCCACUUAAAAGUGUUUUACCCUGGAUUCGAGAAGUUGUUUCAUGGGAAAAACCAGCAACCACCCUCACUGUGAUUGCAACAACUCUACUAAUAGUGUACAAGUAAGUCAGUGCUCCCUCGUAAUUUUCUUAUAUACGGAAAUUUUUUUGAAAGUGCAUGUUGAUCAAGAACCACUUCAUUACUUGGCCUAUUAAUGUGUAAACUUUGCAAAUGACUAGUAAACUAUAUAAUGGCAAUGUAGGGAGUGGGUAGGCCAGGCUAUAGCUGCUUGUUUGCUCACCAUCGUGGUGAAGAUGCUUCAGGCAAGAAAAAAAAGGUUGACAGACAAAUGCAAUGAGAUAGUAGUAUGCACUGCUUCAGAUCAGAGCACCGUGGAGAGCAUUGUGUCGGCUCAAUACAGUUUGAUAACUAUUCAUGAGAUGUUGCAGGCAGCAAACAUUAUGAUUUUGAAGAUAUGGUCGAUAUUAAUUUCAAAGGCCCGCAAGGUACUCAUUUUGAUAACCUAUGCUUUCAGCUUAGCAAUUAAAUAUCGUUUUCAAUCAAUAUUGCUUAUUCGUCGUUAGCUGAAGUUCGUUUACCUACUACAUUUGUUGGAUGUCUUCAAUUAUUGAGGAGUCUUAGUUGCAUUUCCAAAUUGUUCUAAAUCCUCGUUUCAUUUAAUGGGUUGCAGCAUGCGGACACGGUUAUGGUGGCAUUGACUGGGUUAGCAAUAGUAUUAGCAGUUGUUCCAUUCAAGUAUAUUGUCAUGGGAGGUGUGCUGUACGGCUUCAUUAUGAACUCGAAGCCAAUGAAGUACCUGGGAAACAACUCAAACGACCAAAGCGGCAACAGACGUCUAAAAGAAUGGUGGGAGUCAAUCCCUAUUAUUCCUGUUCGCGUCGUGGACAAGCUUCCUGAGUGCCCAAAAUAAUGUGUCGGCUCCUGCACAAUCACAGUUGCCUAAAUCCUCUGUUUCUGAACUUUUGUUAUCAACUUACUGCACGAUAUACACUUCUGAGUUUGCUUUUGCCAUCAGAGUAGAACUGUAUCUGAAACACAGCAUACACUUAAAUGCUCAUUACAAAUUUGGAGAAAAGCACAAGUAGAAAAGGAUUGAAGACAUUCAGUAACGUUGAAAUUCUGCAUUUUCUUUAAUUUUUGUUAUGAACAAGUUUCUUAAUUAUUUGUUCUCUUGAUGUAAAAUAGCAUAUUGCUGGGAGUAAUGAAGAUGUGACUGUGCUUUUCCUAUUAGCAUGUUAAUAAAAGCAAAAUGGAAAAUUAUUAGUUACGUCCUCUCGUUUUGCGGCUUAUUGAGCUAACAAGUAACUUCUUCAUUACUAGCGUGCAAGUUUGCAACUAGUGAAUCUCAAAUAUAACUCUACCCAAUGGAUGGAUGUACGAUGGAUGUACCUACCCAAUCAUUUAUUUCUCAUUAAAUCUGUUAAAACAGAAAAAGUCCCGACGUCAUAUUCUUCGCGCCUUUUAAAAAACGACACGUGUCGUAUCCCACUACUCGCGUGCUGGAAACUUUAACCCACUCUGACUGCGUGACAGCAGAUCAUUCCCAAUUCAUUUCAGUUUCACUGUCACUUUCACUCCUCCUCAGGCGCCUUCCGACAAACAGGAAGAAUGCAAACUUGAAAACCCCCAAAAACCCUAACGUUCCCCCGGAGACCCUAACCCACCAUAAACCCUGGCUCUUAAUCCUAGCCACUAUGAGCGACCAAGACGAGCAAUCGCGAGCUCAGAAAGCCGCCCAGUUAACAAGUCCGCUCUCAUCCUCUCUCUCGAACCUUUCUUCUUCUUCAAGAAGCAUCCCCUCUAAUCAAGAUUUCCAUUUCUUCUACAAUUUCCCUGAAUUCAAUCAACCCGUCCAAGAAAUCGCGAACCAAUCGCAGCUCCUCCUACAAUCCAUCGGCUCAUCGGAGAUUUUUAACCAACCGAUCAAUUUUCCUGAUGAGGUUGACAUCUCGGACGCCUACGACUGGCUUGUCGACGUAAACGACAACGUUUUCGAGCGUAUGGAUGUUUCUUUCGACGAAUUUAGUAAAGUAAGAGGGGAAAAUGGGGAAGGAGAUGGAAAUGAAGGUGGCUUUCAGUUGGUUUAUGGGAAGAACAAGAAGAAGGGCGACAUUGUGGGUGGCUCUGCCCCGGCCAGUGUGAAAGUGAAGGACAGGAAAGAGAAAAGCAAGGUGCCGUUUCAUAUAUCGACUAUAACAAAACCGCAAGAGGAGUACAAGAUAGUUGUGAACAAUGCGAACCAGCCGUUUCAGCAUGUUUGGUUGCAGAAGAUUGAGGACAGUGGACGGUUUAUCCAUCCUCUUGUAAGUUUGUUAUUUUUUGAAUAUUUUGAUAUUGGAUUUGACUUACUGGGUUUGUUAAAUUUGUAAUCUGAAAAUAGUACCUUUCUUAGGGACUUUUUAGUGAUCAAUUAUUUCUUUCAUUUUCUUUUUGGGUGGUUUGUGGUAUAUGUUUACGCUUAUCUUGUUUGGAAUUUGUGUGCAAUUCUUAUUAUUCAUGCGAGAAUUUUAACACUAUCAUGUGGUUCAUGCUUGCCAAAAAUAUACCAAAACACUUUUGCUUAUUGCUAUUGCUUUAUUUGUACAGGACAAUCUUUCUGUUUUGGAUUUUGUUGAUAAAGAUAUAGGGGAUGUGGAACCUGUAAAACCUCCCUCGUUGGAGCAGACACCAUUCAAGCUUGUGGAAGAAGUUAAAGAUUUAAAGGAGCUAGCUGCUAAAUUGAAGAGCGUAGAUGAGUUUGCGGUAAAGUCUGACUUCUGUGAUUAUGUUUUAUUGAUAAAUAAUGCCGUGGUUCAGCCUUACUGCAGUAGUUUCUUUUUUUCAGCCUUUUGAUUUCUCUUUUCUGAUGGGGCAUUUCAUAUACAGAACUGAACACUGUCCUAUGUAGAGGAUAUAGUGUAGUUAAGGCACAUGUCACCGAUGUCAGCUACUUCAAAAUUAUAUAGUGCUGGAUGUGGUUUAAGCCAAUAAGACAAGAAAGGGGUGUGGCCGCCUAUGAAGAUACAUACAAAUAUGUUAAUAUUCGAAACAUAUACAAAGAAAUGUGCCUGUAAUAGUUUUCCUGUCUACGUAAAGUAGUAAACCAGCUGUCUAUUUAAUCUUGAUACAAGUUUUGCAUGUUUAAAAAAUUAUCUUUCAUCUUUAACAGUGAGUCCAUUUUUAGCUGUAAUCCUUUUCUCAAGCAUGACUUGGUUUUGCUUUCGUUUUCAUCUCAACAGUAAACCUGUUUGCAACUAGAAAACAUUGUAAUUUUUUUGUAACUUUUCUCUAGGUCGACUUGGAACAUAAUCAAUAUCGAUCUUUCCUAGGAUUGACUUGCCUGAUGCAAAUUUCCACCAGAACCGAAGAUUUUGUGGUAGAUACGUUAAAGCUUCGCGUUCAAGUUGGGCCAUAUCUUAGGGAAGUUUUUAAAGAUCCUACCAAGAAAAAGGUUGGUCCCUUCAACAUGCUCUCGCGUAGCUUUGUGAUAAAUCUUAUUUUUUCCCCCCCAAAUUAUGUUAACUUUUACUUUACUAGGUGAUGCAUGGAGCAGAUCGAGAUAUUGUGUGGCUUCAACGGGACUUUGGCAUAUAUUUGUGCAAUAUGUUUGACACAGGACAGGUUUUAUCCCUUGAAACUCUCUUUGAAAUUUGAGACUUUAUUGAUGAUCUUGUCUGGUUUUUUGUACAAUGGUUAAAUUUAUCUUAUCUUAUCUGCUUUUUUGUGGUCUAAUUUAUGAGUGUUGAUGCAAGCCUUUAUUCUACUAAAUUAGUUAAAUUGAGUUAUCUUUUGAUACUGUAUUUUCAAUUUUGUAAUUCAUCUUAUGUGUUUGAGUCAAGGUUUGGCUUCAAAAAGCCUUGUCAGUUACAUGUCAUCUCUCCCUUAAUUUUUUCAAAGUAGCUUCGCUUGUCAUUUGAACUAUUUGUAUCAUUAUUUUCAAUUUUGAUGUGGAACUUCCCCCAUUUAUUAAUGUUCUUUUGGUUGUUUUUGUGUAAUGCUCUUUUGUAAAUUUUACCGUGGCAUUUAUUUUGUUUUGCAUUUCAAAUAAUAGUGAGAAUUGCUUUUUUCAGUCCUAAGUUUAUUGGUUUAUUGUAAAUAUACUGUAUAUUUAUUUUGGUUUGCAUUGGGAGAUGAUCGUGGGAAUUUGUUUCUGUCUUUUCAUAAGGCCUCAAGAGUCUUGAAAUUGGAGAGAAAUAGUUUGGAGUAUCUUCUACAUCACUUUUGUGGAGUUAAUGCCAACAAAGAGUGAGUCCUUUUGUAAAGUACCUGAUCUGUUUCUCCUUAUAGUUUCCGCCCUUCAUCAUCCUAAGUCAACUCAUUGCAGAUACCAGAACGCAGAUUGGAGAGUACGUCCUCUUCCCGACGAGAUGCUGAGGUACCUUUGGUUCUCUUUUUAUCUUCUUUGUAACCUACUUUUCUAAUGAGUUCUCCAAAAAAAAAAAAAUUAUGAUCUGUUUGGCAUGAAAAUAAUUACUACUAUUUUAAAGUUCUUGUAUUCUUUGGAAAAGCAGAAAUCAUAUAUCAUCAUUUAAGUGUUUGGGGUUUCAUCUUUGCCUGUAUUUUUGUAGAAACUAAUAAUAUUUUUUUUUCUGUGGCUUAGGAUUUGAAUUGUGGGAAUAUCUAUGUUGGAAAUUAAUAAUGAGUGCACAUUGACUCUUGAUAGUGGACAAAUAUUUGGACAGCCAGGAAGGGGAAGGCCAACAAAAGUUUUGGGUUUUUAUAAGUUGAAGUUAUGAAUGGUUUUAUAAUUAAUUAGGUAUAGGUUUCCUCAUUUGGGUAUUUCUGGGAGAUCUGGGUUAUAAGAUUGAGAUAUUCCAGCCUGUAUAGAUAAUUGUAGGGUUGCCUGUGUUUGUGAUAUUCCAGCGCGUUUAUUAUUACUACUUCUUAUAUAUAUAAAAUUUUAGACUCUUUCCAUGUCUAACAAGAAGUUUUCAUGAUAUCACUUGGAUCCUACUCAUGCAGACUUGUAAGGCAUCCUUAGGUGCGGUUAUGUGAUCUGGUUUUUAUAAAUAUUUUUAAAUUUUUUGUCAGAGACAAUGCCUGUAGUGACAAUGUACUGACUUAUCUUUUGGUUAUUACCAAGCUGAAUCAGGUUGCCUGUGGUUUAUGACCAUACCAUUUGGUCUUAUAAAAUGUUCUUCCCUUCACCUCAUGUUCUCAUACUUUAAAGCAUGAAUAAUAUCUAAGGGCCUGAGAUUAUUUCAUUAAUUUUUCCCAAGUCUAGAUCCUUCCCAGAGAAAUGGAUGGAUUACCCACACACUCACCAGUAACAUGUCGUACUUUAUGACGGUUUUGCAUUACUGCUGUAUGUCAUUUAAUUUGCCCUUUUGAGGAUUCUUUAUUUUCUCUGGGCUGAUGUUACUUUGUGGUGCUUUUUUUUCCUAUUUAGUCAAAAUAUAUAUUCAUCAUAGAGUUUCUCUGUUAGAAUUUUCUUAGCUUUGAGGAUUCGUUAGUGGCAUAUCAUCCAAUUGAUUAUACUUGUGAUGACAGAUACGCUAGAGAAGAUACACACUAUCUGUUGUAUAUAUAUGAUAUAAUGAAAAUCAAGUUGUCCUCAAUGCCCAAGGAGUCUGAGAAUUCUGAUACUCCCCUGACAGAGGUAUGAUUUUUGCUUAACUGUUGGUGUUGUUUUGUAAAACUGUUGGGCAUCUCUAUGAUUAUAGAGAAUCCAUUUUUAAAUGCUUUUUUCAGAUCUUGUUGUGCCAUGUAUGACAGACCAUUGCGUCUGGAGAUUGGCAUGGAGCUUAAUAAUUACAAUGUUAAAAAUAGAACAUAAAAUAUUGGGAAGUAUCUAUCAUGACUAAUUCUUCAACUGUUUAAGGAAGAUAGUUUAAAUCCGAAUAUCCUUUUUUGGAUUGUGGACUAAAGAAAAUUGUCAACUCUUGAUUUCUCUUCCCAAGGAUGAAGACGUAUCAGUCUGUUGGCAAACACAUUUUUUGAAUUUUACUUUAGUUAUCUAUAAUUUUACCAUAUUGAGCAAACAUUUUGUUGCAAACAGGUCUACAAGCGCAGUUAUGACGUAUGCAGGCAGCUGUAUGAGAAGGAGCUUCUGUCAGAAAAUUCUUAUCUCCACAUUUAUGGGUUUGUCUUUGUCCCUAUUCAUCUCAGUUUAAGUUUUCAUUUAGUGGCCUCGCCUGUUUAAAAUCUUCUCUCAUACAGUUUUUGUUUGUUUCAUUCUUUACUUAGCAUUACUUCUCUUGUUUAAUUUUAGUUCUAUUUUGGACUUCGUAUUUAUGUGAUUUGACAGAACUUAAUCAGUGGAGCUUAUUUCUCUAUGUUGAAAUAGGUUGCAGGGGGCUGGUCUCAAUGCUCAGCAGCUUGCUGUUGUUGCGGUAUGUCAGUUCUUCAUGUGUUUUUCAAACUUUGCCACUUUUCUAUCUGGAUAUUAUAUGCAUGAGGAUGCUACUGAAAAUGUAUUAUCCGCAUGUUUUGUUUACUAGUUGCAUCUUCAAAUGAAACAAAGUCUUGACCCAGAAGAAUCCGUAACGCACCAAUAGUCACUAAUAGGAUUGUCUUGAGAAAUUUACUUCUAAAUUUUUGAGUGGAUGAUAGAAGGGUGGAUUUUAAGUAGCUGACACAUCAUUGCCAACUGCUGAUAGAGUCUGUUGCAUACUUGAGUAUUCUUGCUAGUUCUGGCCCCAUUGAUCCCACUUCAAUGAUUUGCAGGGUCUUUGUGAAUGGCGAGAUGUUAUUGCUCGUGCAGAUGAUGAAAGUACUGGCUAUGUAUUGCCAAACAGAACUCUGAUUGAAAUUGGUAGAAACCUGUCUGAAUUUCCUCCAACUCUCUCUUCUAUAUGUAUAUAAUCCAUUUGGUGAGUUAUGAGUUAAUCAUAUUUUCCUUUUGUGGUAAAAGCCAAACAGUUGCCUACUACUGCUGCCAAGUUACGUCGAUUGUUGAAAUCAAAGCACUCAUAUAUUGAACGCUAUAUGGGUCCGGUACUUAGCAUCAUAAAAAAUUCUAUGCAAAAUGCUGCUAAUUUUGAAGUCAUUGCUCAAAAAUUGAAAGAGGAACGUAUGGAAGUGGUAAGACCUGCAUGCUCAUGUUUGAUUGUUUUGUUAUAUCAGUGAUCCAAAUUGAUUAUUUUUCUUUGAGAAUUUGAUGUUAAUGCCUUCAAUGGAUUGCCAACAUACAUUGAUUUUCUUUUUCUUUUCCUUGGAUUUCGUUAGAAUCAGACCAACCAUCUUUUAAACGAGGAUGAUGGUCCAAAACCUUAAGGUCUACUACGAUGAAUUGCUACUUUUUGUGCAAGUUCUUGUAAUUCACUCAGCUGGUUGUCUUCGGCAAAUGAAAGGAAAAAGGAAAUUCAUCCAAUCCAGUUCUAUUGAAGAAAAAGAAUCCUAGUUGAUCUUACAAAAUUAAGCUUUCAUAAUUUGUUAACCCAUGGAAUGUGAUUAAAACUCAUGGACAAAGGAUGUUCCAGUUGAGAAAGGGAUUUGAGUGAUUUUUAGCAAUUAUCAGUGAUGUCUUCAUUAGAAGUAAGUUUAUGGUUUAUAGCAGUAAAUGCUCAAUAAUUAGGUACUCCUUGUAUAUUGGCUGACCGGGUCCCAUGUUUGUAGUAGGUUUUGUGAGCUACAGAGGAUUAACUUCAGUCAGUUUUCCAUGUUAUGGCUGUUAAGAGCUAUGUCACCAUUUUUCUUUGUUUACAUCAAACUAAUCUUUUUUUUUCCCCCCAUUUUUCCUUAUUUGUGUAGGCAUCAGAAGAAACUGAAGUUUUAGUUCUUGAUACUUCCUCAAACUUGAAAAUUCCGAAUGUUGGAAGGGAGAGUGUUGAUGGUGUUGAUGCAUUAGUUGGUACCACGAUGCCUCACCCACCAGCUUACACCCAGCUGAAACAAGAGCCUCCAAAGGUUGGAAGCAGUGUCGCAGAACUUGACAGAAAUGGACUAGGGUCUUUUGCGCAUCCUGGAGAAGCAAUUGCUUCAGAAAAUAAAGAAGCUACUCAUAUUUCAACACUUUCCAGCUCUGGUCAAAGUAGAGACUUGAAUGCUUGCAAGUCACCUUCACCAAGGGUUGUGAAUUUGAUGCCUUAAUGUGGAUUUUUUUUUUUUUUGGUUAAGAGGUUUAGCAUUCAAUUUCUUUUUCUUUGGUUGUGAAUUUGAUGCCUUAAUGUGGAUUGGAUUUUUUUUUUUUUUGGUUAAGAGGUUUAGCAUUCAAUUUCUUUUUCUUUAUAGGUUACUGAAGCUGCUGUUCAGGCUCUAAAGAAGCCGAACCGUGGUUUUGGAGCACUGCUGGGUAACCCAAAGAGAAAGUUUGAUGGCGAGAAAAAGGUGAGUUAAUCAUUUGCUAGUAAUGGUUGUUAAACAUCUGCUAUGUCAUUGUCACAUAGCAAAAUAACUAUUUCUGAGGCCUGCCAGUCACCCAGUUUGUGCAUGUGUGGUUGGGAAGAAGGCAACAAAGGAAGAAUAUAGUUAAACAUUUGCUAUGUUAUUCUUACAUAGCAAAAUAACUACUACUGAGGCCUGCCAGUCAGCCAGUCUCUGCAUGUUGGUUGCAAAGAAGGCAACAAAAGAAGAAUGUUUUUUUUUUUUGAAUCUUCAUUCCAUGAUUCACUUUCUUUUCAAUUUUUCUUGUCAACUAGCAUGUACAUUUGCCUUCUUGUUGCCUUUUUCGUUGCGUGAGUCAUUAUGAAUUAUGAUUUAUAUUAUACGGAAAUUGUGAGUGGGCAACUGUUGGGCUAUAAUCAAACAUGCAAAAUUUCGGGUCCCAUGACUAAGCGCUGCUAUCAUCUGGAUUUGUGUGUUGUUGCAUUUUAUAUUUGGUUAACACCCUUCUUAUUAUCCUCCUUUUGAUUGUUUGUUUGUCUUAAUUAGGACAAGGAAGCUAUGAAACUAGAGCAGAUUAAAUCCUCAGUCAAUCUUCCAUUCCACUCAAUUUUUGCAAGAGAUGAACAGUUAAAACCAGUUGAUGUGAUGAAGUCUGAACCAAAUAAGCCUGACAUUCCAUUUCCUUCAUCUUUUGGUAGUGGGCAACAAACGAAACCAAUCAUAGAGGAAUCCAAUAGAGUUACAGUAGUUUCCCAAUCAGAAGAACCCGCUCCGGCUGCUAGGUCUGAUACAGAAGAUAUUAUUACGUUGGAAGAUGAUAUAGAUGAAGAGGAACAAAACCUUGGUAAUUUGGAAACUGCAAGUGCGCCCGGAGAGGACGGUUCUGCAGGGUCUGCUUUGGAAAUGGGUAAACAAGAUGAGACCAUGUCUCUCUCUGAUUUAUCAACUAGUUUCCAGGAGUGCUUCCACUCUGCUAACAACAAUAGAAAACCUGGAAAGCCUGAGAGAUCUGAAGAACCUAGUGGUUUUUUGCAGCUUAAGCCGUUUGACUUCGAAGCAGCUAGGAAACAGAUCGAGUUUGGAGAAGAUGCCAAAGAAAAAUCAGCUGGGGUUGAUGGAAACAAAAGAAAACCAGUGAACUCUGGAGAUAAGAAAAAAGUUUCAGCUGUAGAUCAAGCUCAAAAAGAUGAUGGAACAAAAGAACUGUCACAAGGUAGACGACGUUCUGCUUUUCCUGCAACUGGAAAUCGAAGUGCAACAUUUCGCUGAGUCUCUGGUAUCAAUCAUGCUGCUCUGUGUAGCAGAAAUUAGUUGAAUUUUGGAUUUUCACAAUCAUGUUCUUGAUUUAAAUGGAAAUUAAUGCUGGUGGACAAAUUCGCAAUGGUUGUACGUAUAUUUCCAUUGCUUGAGGUCUUGUCUGAUACAGCAUGAGCUAACCUGAUCAUCUUUUGAUAUUCAGUAACAGGAGAGAUGUAUGGUCUGCAGGAGCCAAUGAUGGGCAAGUGAUACCUGAGGCCGGUGUCUAUUUGAAGGUAAAAUGGGCGAUGGUUCUAGGUUUCAUAUUAGGUUUUUGAUAGUCUUGAGUAAUUGCCCUACUAUCUUCAUAUUUAAAAAACAGGAUGGUUUCAAACCAAAGUGCGGUUUGUAAUCAAAAGCAUUUGAUCUUUUUGUUUUUGUAACUUUACGGGUUUUAUUUUUAGAAAAAUGGUUCUGUACUAUGGUUUAUUUCUGCCUUAUUUGAUAUUGUGGUCAUCUUAGGCUUUAUUUAGUGUAAUUUUUCAGUUAUAUGUUCGUUUGGGAAGAGGAAAUGAAGUUAAUUUUAUUUCACACUUGCAUAAGAAAAAAUUGUAAUGUUUAUAUUAUUUUUGUUAAAAUUAUUAUUUAAAAAUUAUAUUUGAUAUCUAUUAAUAAUUUUUAUUAUAAUUAUAAUUUUCUUUUUCCUCCAUCAUCUCAAUUGCUUAUAACUGCUGUUGAGGAUGGUUGGUGCGAUGUUAAUAAUUUGUAAAGGGCUUAGUAACAUCUGGUUCCGUGAUGUCGGCCAAACCAUAUCGAAGGGCUUAAUUUGACGGUCAUCGGGGCCUCCUGCCCAGCUGCCCUCCUUUACGGAUUCCGCUUCCGCAAAUUAUUUUAUAUAAACUGUUGUUACAUGAUAGUGGUGGCCGGAUGAAAAUACUACAUGACCAUAUAAUGCUUUCGGUGCAAUGAGUGAAAAAGAGAAAUUUUUAUGUAUUCUCGGAUUGAAGGAGAAAUUUUAAGAUUAAGAUUGUGGAGUGGUAGCAGGAGUAAAUUAUUUACUUACAUCACUAUGAGAGUGUGGAACGAAAAUUAGAAAUUAUGUAUUUUCUUUGUCUUAGAUUGAGAGUGAAUCAUUUUAAAUUAUAAUUUUAUCCUUAUUUAAAGAAUUGUAGUUUUUAAUUAUAAAGUAAAUAAAAAAAUAUAUUUGCACAAUAAAUUAUUUAUUUUGUUAUUAAUUUUAAUUAUAUAAAUUAAUAAUAAUUAUUAUUAUUCUUAAUCAUGUGAAUCAUGAUUUUUUUGUUAAUUUUNNNNNCGUACAGCAGAAAUAAAUAUGAUAUUUUUAUUUUUAAAUAAAUGUGAUAUUAUUUUUAUUUUUAUCAAUAUAAUUAUAUUAUAUUCAAUAAGGAAAUGAUAAAAAGAAAGAAGUGGGAGUAGAUUUCUACUUUUUAUUCAAAAACAAAAAUGAGACCCACAGAGUAGAAGCCUAACUCUCCUCCUUAGAUGAGUACUAAAACGUUUAAGUAGGAGAAAUUCAUAUUUUUGACUCCCACUCUACAAAGUAAACAUAAUAAUAAUAUCAUAAUAACAUUUGAUAAUUCUAUAUAUUUGUGACGUCAUAUCUCAUCAAUUGAUUAAUAAAAUUAAAUGGUGAUUAUUUAUGAAAGAACAAAAUUAAUUCAUGUGAGUUAUGGUUAAUAAAUAAAUAAAAUAUAAAAUGUUAAAUUUUGACUAUAAACUAAUUUCAAUAUCUAAUAAUUUAAAAGCUCAAUAGAGCUAUGAUAAAAACUAAAGGGAGGAUUCUUAAUCCGAUCCGGGAUCUUAAUCAGUUCAGGACCGAUCCACUUCCAGCUAUUACGCGUCAAACAUCCAUUUGACGAUUGACGUGUCACGCCAUCUCACUGUCCUCACAAGAAAACCCGUUACCUUCAAAAUGCUCCAAACCCAUCAACGCCGAAUUCAAAUCAAGCCCCAAGACCAAAUACAAAGCAAAAACAAAUAAACAAACGUCUGUUCAUUCAGUCUGAAAAAAUCAAAAGAAGUAAAAGGAUUGGCGAUGGCGAUGGCGGUUGAAGGAGGAGGGACAUUAUCGGAGAUAUAUCAAAGUGCGAAGAAGUUGCUGUUGAGAGCGAGAGACGGAGUUGAGAAACUGGAGAGACUGGAGAGCUCGACGUCGACUGGGGGAUACGAUUCGCCGGAGCUCUCCUUCGCUGUCAAGAAAGAUAUUUCUCAGAUCCAGUCACUCUGCGUCGAGAUGGAUCGCCUAUGGCGCUCCAUCGCCGACAAGUCUCAGCGCGAUCUCUGGAAGAGGUACCUAUUCAUUUACUGUUUUGCCACGUGGCACCGAAUCAACCUUGUGUCGUGUCCUAAUUGCUCUACGCCAGUUCGGUUGCAAUUCUGUGCAUGAACCGCAAUUUUUAUACUGAAUAUUACAUUAUUGAUUUUGUCUGAGCGACAAGGCAUGCUUCCACGUUUACUUGUUGCUUAGUUUUAUUGUUUUGCCUUCUAUGUUAACAGUCUAUAUAAGUUUUAUAUGUGUUACAGGCAUGUGUAUAUAUGGAAGUACAUUAAUAGCUGUUCAUGCUGUUGCUUGCUUGAGGUCGUUGGUAUAUUUGCAUUUGGAACUAAAUGUGCUUGGUGUGGGUUCGCUAUGUGUGUGUGUGUGUGUGUGUUUGUUUGCGUUUGAUGUUAAAUGGAAUUACCUUCUAUCGAGUCAGUGCCGCAAUUUGAUUGCUUGGUUUUUCAGAGGUGUGUUUUUAUGUUAUGUCAUGCAGAAAAGUUGAACAAGUAGCAGAAGAGGCUGAAUCAUUGAAAGAGAGUCUCGAUAAGUACUUUUUAAGAAAUCAGAGACGGAUAAAUGAAGCUAGAGAGAGGGCGGAAUUGCUUGGAAGAGCUGUAUGUUUAUUCAGUUUUCGUUAGAAGUUUUGAACGGAUUCUGUAGUGUUUUUCUUGUCUGGAAACGAGAAUUAGCUUUCCAAUCUGAUGAAUUUCUUUUAUGUUAUAGAAUGGAGAGUCGUCUCAUAUUUUGAGAAUUUUUGACGAGGAGGCGCAAGCAAUGCAGUCAGUACGCAAUUCAUCGAGGAUGUUGCAAGAAUCGUUUGCAACUGGGACAGCCAUUCUUGCCAAAUAUGCAGAACAAAGGGAGCAUCUAAAGGUAUUGACACUUAAGCUCCUUGUUUACAUGCACAGUUGCACACUAGAAAUUUUUGCCAAGCUCACUCAAACUGUGUGCAAACAAAGUUCACUAAACAGGGUCAAAUGAGAAAUUUACAUUCUUGUCAUGGUUGUAUUCUUAACAUGAUUAAAUAUUUAAAUGAGAACAAUGUUAGAUCCUCAAAGCAAUUAUCUUUAAUAUUGAUUUAUACUACUGCUAUAGAAAUUAUAAGUGUUUGCAGCACCUGCACAAAUGGCUGCAGAGAAUUUAGUCUGUCUAUGGUAAUAAUUUUAAAAGCUGGUAACUCCAAAUAUUCAACAGUGGCUGACAAAAACAAUCCUCAAGUUUUAAAGUAAAAGCAAACUUUGCUUUGAAAUAAUCAGUGACAACAAUGACGUGAAAGUGUCACCAACUGUUUAUAUAUAAUAUCUCCAAUAUUCCAGAAUUUAGUUUCAUAAUGGCUGGCAAAGACUUGGUUUUUUUAAGGUUUAAAGUAAAAACGAUCUCUGCUUUGAAAUGUUCAGUGGCAACAGUGAUGUAAAAUGAUCAGCAACUGUUCAUAUCUAGUAUCUCCAAUGUUUAGAAUUUUGUUUAAAAGAUCCGUUCCAUCCAUAAAAAAAUUUCAUUCUGAAUAAGCAACUCAAGAUUACACUUCGCAAGAACACACCAUCUACCAUUUCUCACAAAUUUAAAUGUCACAACCUAUGAUCCAUUACCAAUUGUGAGAAACGGCAGAUUAUUUGUUCUAAUGAAGUGUAAUUUGAGUUGCUUAUUUAAAAUGAAAUUCUUUUAUGGGUAGAAGGGAACUUCUAAACGAAGUUCUAGGAAUCAAAUUAGCUGUUUAGAUUUGAAUAGUUGGUGAUGCUUUGAUGUCACUGUUGCCACUGAUUCUUCUCGAAAAGAAACAGAUUUUUAAAUGGUAUUAUAGAGGUCACAGAAAAAAAAUAGUCAUGCUAUCAUUGAUAGCACUUGCCACUGAUGUUGAUAAUGAGUUUAACUGAUUAACUUCCAUCUUUGGUUCAGAAAGCACAAAGGAAAGCUCUGGAUGUUCUCAACACUGUGGGUCUGUCCAAUUCAGUAUUGAGGCUCAUUGAGAGGAGGAACCGUGUCGAUACAUGGAUCAAAUACGUAGGAAUGGUUUCUACAGUGGUCAUCUUAUAUUUCUUCUGGAGGUGGACUAGGUGAUCCGAUCUUCAUACUUAGCCACGCAUAGAUCAUUAAUCCGCAUACUUUGGAAUGAUUAAGUUUUGUUCUUGAUAUUUGCCCCAUAAGAGGGUUAAUGAGGAUGUACAAGGCAUUCUUUGAUGAGAGACUAUCCUCUUAUGAGGAUGUAUAAAGCAUUCUUUGUUAAGAGACUAACUCGUAUAGGACGGACUCCCAAAGAAGGUUCUUUGCAAUUCUUGAACAUUUAGAGCGAAGUUGACGAAACGUGCUAGUUGUUUUUGUAUUUUGGCAAAAGGGGAAUUACAGAGUUCGAAGAUUCUAAGAAAUGCGCCAAUUUUGUUUUGUUGUCAGAACGCAAAAACGGCCUGAUUGUGGACGGUUAAAUCCGGAAUUAUGUAGUGGAUUUGCAGUUAUUGAAGGGCAUGCUUGGGAAAAUAAUAUGGUCAAAUAAAAUCAAGAACAAUUAUAUUGUAUCUGCUGUUUAUGCGUCCGUACUUGAAGGUGUCCACGUGGCUGGUGUGUGUUUGUUAAACCAGUAAAAUUAAGUAGUGCGAAGUUCUGAUCGCCGCUCAUUGAUUGUUUUUUUUUUUAACUUUAAAUAAACUAUGAGAAAAGGCUUUGAAUGAGUCGCAGAUAAAUUAAAGUUUUUUUUUUCUUCUUCUAAAUUUAUAUCCAAUGGUUCGGCACAUGUUAUUUUCUUUAUUUUUAGUGCACACGGUAAACUAUUGAUAGUAUUUGGUGUAAACUCACUUUCAAAUCGAUGCUUCACGAAAAGUCCAAAUGACGCGCUAUGAAAGUAAUAUAGAUAACUAGGAUAAGUGGAAAUGAUAAACGAAUAAAAUGAAGUAAAAAGAAUUUUUCAUUUUUAAGGGUUACAAAAUAAGAAUAGUUAAUUACUUAAUUAGUUGACUUGCUAAAAAUUUUUCAUGCAAACAAAUGGUCUGGACUGGAAUCCGUUUAAAUGGAUAGGAAGAAAAUUAGAGUGUCGUAAAAGUACUGGAGUUUCAAAUCCCCUCACGUAGUCACAAGGAUUAGAAGAAAAUUGAAUUGUUAGGCAAAAUGAAAAAAAAGAAAAAAGCUUAACAUUUUUAUUUUCUAAAAAAAUGUUUUUCUUAGUUGUUUUGUUUUUUAAUUUUAAAUAUAUUUAAAAUUUUGAAAUUAAUAAAUGACUUUGAAAACUUGAGUGUGCUCGAGCCUCGAGAUCUACUCAAAUUCUUUUACAUUAUUACAUUAUGAAAAAUUGUAUGAUGUCGUGAUUAAACUAUUGUAUCAAUACUAUGAUAAACAUAAAUUUUAGAAAUUAUAUAUAAGACUAGUAAGUGAAAUGUAAAAUAAAUUAAUUAAUAUAAGAGUGGUAAAUAAUGUUUUAAAAUUAUAAACAAAACAAACACUUAUAAAAAUAACAUAAAAAUUAUAAAUCAACAUUAAAUUUUAAUGUAAAAAUAGUUUAUUUAUUUAAUUUAUUCAAGCAAAGAAAAACUUUACUCAUCAAUUGAAAACAAAAAUUUUGUAUUGAAAACAAUGGGAAUAAGUUUUAUUAAUUGAUUUAACCAUGAAUUUUAUAUUCAUGUCAGGAUAUUUAUAAACUGUUUUUUUUUUUCAUUUUCUAUCAUAGUAUUUGUUUACUAUACAAGUUGAUUAAGUAAACUUAUUAUUAUUAUUAGUAUUAUUAUUAUUAUUUAUGUGGAUCAAGCCAAAACAAAAUAAAAAUACAUUUGAAUAUUACUAGACAUAUAUGGAAUAUUAAUACAAUUGAAUCUAACUUUCAGUUUUAUACAUAAUUCAUCUAGUUUCAAAUUUUACUUCUUAUACUAAAAGAUCAUUUGAGGUUGCUAUCGAGGAGGUUUAAAAUGAUGCAAAAUCACUUAUAUCACAAAUAAAAUAUGAAAAAAAAUUUCUAAAAUUUGAUUUUGAGAGUAAGUUUUAUCCUUAAUAAAAUUCCACAUAUAUUAUCACGUCUAUUACAUAACCACAGAAUUAUCAUUAUUUGAUUUAGAAAUAAAAAUAGUAAAUAUAUAAUGUAAUCAUUAUUAUAGUGAGUUUUUAUUUAUUUUUUCAAUAACUCUUAUAAUAUUUACUUAUUUUACAUUCAUUUACAACUCUUCUAUUUUACUUUUAUAAUUUAUAUGUUAUUUUACACUUAAUGUUGAUGUACAAGUUUUAUAUCACAUUUGUAAACAAGUUUUACUUUAUAUUUACAUGUAUUAUGUUUUAUUUACUUAAUUCAUGUUUUAUUUUAUACUUAAUGUUGAUUUACAAGUUUUAUAUUAUAUUGAUAUAAGUUUUUAUUUUAUUUACUAAUGAUAUAUCAACUUACCACUGUUAAUUUACUUAUUUUACCUUCAAUUUGCAAGUCUUGUGUUUCAUUUACAUAAUUUAUUAUGUUUUAUUUUACGUUUAAUGUUGAUUUACAAGUUUUAUGUUAAAUUUACACCUCUUAUAUUUUAUUUACACAAUUUAUGUUCAAUUAUAGUAUAUUAUAGAAUGACUCAUUUGACAUUACAAUACAAAAUUAUAAACAUAAAUAGAUGUAUCAAAAAGUCUUGUCGAAAAAUGAAUCCACCUUAAUACGGACCUGUCUCAUUGUUUUAUAAUUAAAGUUGCACACUCUUACAAUGAACUUGAAGAAAUUGAAUUCUCAACAUCAAUAAUGAGGUGUCUAUUACUAAUAAUAGUUUAUAAAAAAAAUAAAAAAAAUAAAGAAAUAUGAUUAAAUUGAUCAAUGUAAUUUUAUUAAAAAAAAGAAGCAUUUUUAUUACAAAAGCAAUCUCAAAAUAUAUAUUUUUUGUAGUUACAAAAAAUCAUGACCUAGUGGCGACCUAGUGGCGACCUGGUGGGCGUAUAUACAAAAAUCAUAAUAUUUUUAUACUGAUUACAUAAAUUCGGUGAUCACAGACCACAGUAAAACCCUGAAACCGCCCAACGGGGUUCUUUACCAGAGGAAAAAAGGGAGGAAAGAAAAUGACUUUUUAAUAUAACGGCACGGGUUUAAGCCAAAAACGGUGGAAUCAAAUCAUUGACACGUUCGUGCGAUGCCUUCACUCCUCAGGCAAACCAGACUCCCGCAUGUGAAUGCCACGUGAACGUAGCUUCUUCACAUAAUUUUUACCCCAAUGUCCAAAUUACCCCUUAUCUUUUACUCCUUUUUUUUUCUUUUUAACUUUGCCCGAUUUUGAAGUCUAUUACGUAUUGCGGACUGCUGCCCUCGCUUGACGUGUUUUUUCUCCUUUUUUUUUUUUUUCCCUCUCCAAACUAUUCUUUUCAAUUUUAACUAAAUAAUUUUUUUUUUUAUUACGAACAUCAACUUAAAAUUUAGGUUAGUUAGACACUUCCCCACUUCAUCCUUAAAGUCAAGUAUUCAUAUCUAUCUGUCUAUGGUGAAUAAUUUUUUUUAUUUUUUAAACUACGAACAAGUUAUCUUUUUUUUUUUUCUUUUCCAAUAUCACUAUUUAUCCACUUUUAGUUUAAUUCUUUCUGCCUAAGAUGAUCAAUUUAAAUUAAAAAUGGGAUUUUGAAAUUAUUUACUAAAAAUCAUGAUUGUUCUUUUGACGUAUUUGAAUAAAGUUUAUUUGGAAAAAUUAAUGUAAAAAAAAAAAAUGUUGGAAGAUUACGACAAUGGAAAUGUAGUCUCUGGUGAAAUGCUCUGAUUCAAUCAAUCAUCAGCAAAUGCGGUUCGCACGUUGGCAAUGGAACUCGUGAUAGCACAACCGUGAAAUGUCCUUCAUUUGGGAGUCCACGUUAAUCACAUGUGGGUCCAUCUUGAGUGCUUUUGUGCUUUACAAUUAAAAUAGACAGACAGGCUGAUGACCUGACAAUUUCGAGCCUGAUAAAGCCCCUUCAUCAACUUGAUCAGAAGGACAGGACAGCUAUUAAUAGAAAAAAGCAGCAGACUAGUACUAAUCGAGAAGUCAAACAGAUAAAAACUAAAACUAAAUAAUCUAAUCUCCUCCUAAUUCACUAAAUUAUUUUAUUUCUAUUGGUAUAAUUAAUUAAUUGAUUGAUUAAUCAAACAUGCCUUCACAAUUAAAUAGUUUCAACAGUGUAAGUUGAACCACGUGUCAAGCAAAAGCAACCAUCAUUUAUUAUAAUUUUUUUUUAUUUUUUUCGAAAAAGGAAAAAUCAAAAAACAAGGCAAGUUGAUGCCAACAGGAUCUGAUCCGGAAGGGUAACCGAGUCAUUUCGCCGUCAUGCAUGCCUCAAUCCGGAUUGCCUGCCCGCCCCCACGUUGGAAAACCAGGGACGCAUCGAUAAGCAGUUUCAACACCCAAAACACAAACUUGGGGGCGGGAAUUGCAAAACGAAAUAACAGCUUUUGCUUUUGCUUUAAUUUUUUUCCGUUUGUUUUCUUAAAAAGAAAGAAAAAAAAAAAUACUCCCAGUUCCACAAUAGAGCCCCUGGUUUUGCCUAUUUCUUUAAUCCUUUUACGCAGACUCAUGAUAAAUAUCUCCAUCUAUCAGUCAGUCCAUACGGUUUCCUUUCAUCACCAACCCCACCAACGAAAACAAAAAAAACAAAACAAACCCCCUCUUCAGAAAUAUAAUUAUAAUUUUCUUUUUCUAUUGAAUUAAGCUUGUUGGGUAUAAUUUGCUAAUUAAUCAAAGAUCGAUCUAUGACGACGGAAGCGGUCAGCAAGGUUGGAUAUGCGCAUAGUAAGGUUGCUAUGAAGAAGAAGAGCGGUUAUCGAGGUCGAUGCAGGAGAAGAAAUCACGACAGAUAUGCACCCGAUAAUAAAACGGUGCCGAUGGCGCUGCAGCGUCUGUUUCUUUCUUGCAAAGACGUCUUCAGAGGCCCUGGAACCGUUCCCGCUCCUUCUCAUGUCCAAAUGUUGUGCUCUAUUCUUGGUAAGUGUUUUUUUUCUUACACUUCAUCAUUUCUGGUCCAAUUUUCUUGUUUUUCAUUUGGCCGCUGCACUCGCAUGACGUGUAUGUUGUGAAAUCUGAACCCAUCAUCAUCCUUCAUCCAUGCACAUAUAUAUUAUCAGUCAUGAGAAAUUUUGAAUCAGCCAUUAAAAAAAGAAAAAAAAAAAGAAAAGGAAAGAUUCAAUAUUAUCAAAUCAAUACCAUUUUGUUUCAUGAGAUGAUCUAUGAAAGAUGGGAAAGGAGCACUGCUCCUUAUUUCAUUUCCUGUCACGUCUGUGUUUCAAUCAAUUGUAAUAAUACAUAUAGCCACGUAAAAAGCAAGGGGCAAUACUCUUUACAGCACGAAAACCUUCUCAAAAAAGGGGCUUUACUUUAUUGGCAGUAAUGAAUUGUUUUGAGCAAUUCAAUUCAUCAGUGCACUUAUCAUGUUUACGUAGUUUGUCAAUUUGGUUCCAGUUUUUGGUUCUUUUUAUUGGAUUCAGUGCCGAAAUGUCAUGUGUGUUCAUAGGACGUACUGGGAAAAGGAUUAGAAAUCUGUACUGAAUUUUUUUAAAUUUUGGGGGGGGGUUUUUUUUUGGGGUGGAUGGGGUUAUGGAUCUAAGUGGAUGGUACCAAUUUUCAAAAAUGUAGUUUAAUUAACUUUCCAGUUGAAAUUACAAAACCAAACCAUCCGAAAUGGAUUCUUCGAGAAAAGGUGGGUUCAGAAAACAAAGUGGUUGCUUCUAGGUGAAUCCAGAUUUUUUUCACGCGGACACAUGGUACCUUUUGGUUGAUUACCCAGCCACAGUGUUGCUUGAGGGGACAAAAAUAUCAUAUUUGUUUUUUUUUUUUUUUCCAAAUUCCUUUUUAAUUCGUAACUCAAUCUCAUGGGAUCCUACUCAGCAGCCAUUGUGAUUAUUUUUUUUACCUGACGACGCAAAAAUCUUUGCAUUAGAAAGGAUACAUAAGCACAUUUGCCUACUGUUGCUACGUGUACAUGUGCAAUGGUUUGGUUGCAAAACUGGAAGCAUUGGCACAUUAUAUAUAUGUGUGUUUUUUUUUUUUUAAUAUGUAUAAAUGCAUGGAUCAUGACACUUGGCUAAGUUAAAAUUUCCAUUUUCUCGUUAUCAUAAAGAUUGCCAGUGACUCAAACAAGCUUUUCUUUUUAAAUUUAUGAUGCUACAGAUGAAAUGAAGCCAGAGGAUGUUGGGCUUAGCAGUAAGUUACAGUUACUUAGUGCCAAAGAUGCAAUGAAAGGGACGCCAAUUGUCACAUCCACUACAAUAUACAAAUGCCAGAACUUUUCGGUAAAGACAUAAGCUAUUCAUAUUGGGCUAAAUUAAAUUCUUUUAUUAUCGUAUACUAAUUUGUAAACCAUACUAAUUAAUAGUGCAAAUUUGAUUUAGAACUUGAUAGAUUACCUUUUGGAUUCUCUUUUGUGCAGUUGUGUCUUUUCUUUCUUCCUCCAACUGCUGUGAUCCCCUUGCACAACCAUCCGGGAAUGACUGUUUUUAGCAAGCUUUUGCUCGGGACAAUGCACAUAAAAUCGUACGAUUGGGUCGAUCCUGUUGACGCAAACGAUUCUGCAGCCCCCACAAAACGUGAGUACCGCUUACCUUAUACAUAUAUGUCCAUGUAUAAUGCACACACGAACACACACACACACACACUCACAUAUCAAAACAACACGAUAACUUGAAUGUGCUAGCUCGGACUAGGAUGAUCAUUUGUGACUGAAAGUGAUGAUUUAAUUAAUUUGCAGCGCGAUUGGCGAAGUUGAUAGCCGACAGUGAUUUCACAGCACCUUGCAACACUUCUGUGCUAUAUCCAACAACAGGAGGCAAUAUCCAUGAAUUCACAGCCAUUACGACAUGUGCCGUGCUCGAUGUGCUUGGACCUCCCUACUCUAAGGACGAUGGUCGGGACUGCUCAUAUUACAAGGAGUUGCCACUUCCCGCGGUUCCAAGUAAGCGAAACAAAACCACUUGUUACUGAUUAAAAACAACCUCGUUUAAACCUCCUCGAGUAGCGCUUUCAGAGGUCUUACCAAUUAAACCCACCGAUUUUGUUAAUGCAGAUGGAGAGAAUCAGGAGGCAAAAGAGGAUGAUGGUGGUGAGAGUUGUAGGUGGUUGGAAGAGAUUGGGGUGCCAGAGAACUCACACAUGGAUGAAAUUGAGUACUUGGGACCGCAGAUAAUUGAGUAGUAGCUGUAACUAGCUUCAGCCCACAGUCGCGUGAUAAAAAAAAAUUUCAACGCAUUAUCUUCUUUUGUUUCAUAGCUAGUCAAUGGUUUUGUAUUUAUAUAUACACAUAUAUUACGUUGUUUCCUGACCUGAGUUUUCACUAUGUUAAUAGCAAAAUUUCAUUUCUUUUUCUUUUUUCUCUUUAAUCCCGGUAUCUUCUUUAAUAACUUGAUUACUUGAGUACACUGUACCAUUGAAAUCAUGGUUCAUGCCAUAGUUCCCUUAGAGGAAGGUCCAAACCCGGCUUAGGAGAAAUGGAGGUUUGGGCUGUCGAGGGCCUUGGUGUUGCUAUGUUCCCAAGAGAUGUUUACUUGGGCUGUCGAGCGCGCCGAGAAGUGCUUAAUAUUACAUCAAUGGGCCGGGCUUGUAACCGACUACUACACAUUCCCAUGGCGGCAAUCCUGAUCAGUAAUUAACUUGGGAUUUUGCAUUCAAUGAUUGCCACAAUAAUAUCAGCAAACUUUUCAGAAGAACCUUAAUUGAUAAUUGUCAUUUUGCAAUCAUAGGUUAGUUGAUGGAUAUACCAUGGGCCCUGAAAAUUAAUUAAAAUAUCAAACAUUGUAUGCUCCUAGGUUGGAAAUUUUUCAAAAUUUUCAAUAGAAAAAUAACCUCAAAAUCAAUAUUUUACAUGUGAAGAUCUGUUUCAUUAACAAGCGCGAUGGGCCAAACGGAGGGAGCCAGGAAUUUUAAGCUGUUCAUAUUUGACGCCCUAAUUUGGGAUUUGCUAAUACGGAAAAACUUUGAGCUGCUCACUAAUUUAUAUCUUGACUUCGAGAAUCUGCGCAAUUACUAAUUAGUAGCCAUCAAUAAUUGUCAAAAAUCAAUUUUGAAUUUCGAUAUUUUUGAAUGCAUUGGUGUUACGUGUUUCUCCAUACGCGUUAGUAAAUUUGAGAUGGUGUAAAUUUGUAAUAAACUAAUAAUAUCUUCUUUUUUUUAUAAUUUGAAAAUCAACCCAAUCUGAUUCUCUAAAUUAACAAGAUCAAAUUGACUAUCCAAUGUUCAUUCACUAGGAAAGUCCUAAAGGUCCCUCUAAACUAGAAAGUUACUCAAAUCUAUGGCCAAAAUAAAGUCUUCUUAUAAUUAAAGAAACAACCCAUCUUUUUUUAAGAUCUUCUGACAAUGAAUUUUCAAUUAUGAUGGGGUUUGAAGUUUUGAAAUUUUCUAAGAAUUAUUAACAACUGAAAAGAGAAAGCAAAAGAAAAAGGACGAUGUGAUAUGGCAUGGGACAUGGACUUCCCACCACCUUUACAUUGCCAUCAUGCAAAAAAAAAGCUCUCAAUUUUAUGCUUAGCUUGUUCUUGUUUUCUUUCUUUUAUCACUUCUUUAUUACGUGGGUCUUGAAUUCUCAAUAGUUUCUAAUUGUUAAAAAACUCCAUGAAAAUUGCUUUCCCUAUUGUAAUACCUCCAUUAAGGAGAAUGAAGGGUUAAAAAUGUACCGACAGAUACUGGAAAAUUAUUGAAUGAAGUAAUCAACAUGAUUGUUCACUGACAAUAUUAUAUUCGGAAUAAUGAUAGCUGGUUGUUUUGGAUUGUUUUAGAUGUUGUAUUAGCCAAUUAGGCAUAUUGGUAUAUAUUAUUAUUAUAUGAAAUACUAUUGCCUUUUUUAUUAGCAAAAGACUUUCGGUUAAGAUUUUGCUUAAUUACACGAUUGCAUCGUGAUUGUUUUUAAGCUUCAUCAUUCAAUUCCAAAACUUAACGUAACAAAAGAUCUUACUAACAAUACUAUUUUAAUACCCAUUUUUUUCCCAGUCACGUGAGUGUAUAUGAUCUCCAUAUCUUUGGUACUAUAUCUAAAAAAUUUUUCCAAUCAAAUUAAUUAACACCCGCAGCUACAUUUAAGCAAAUUGUUCUAAGCCGCUAGGGUUUAAUCUAGUAGUUAAAACACAACCCUUACAAUUGUGAGAUUAUGCGUUCGAACCCUCACAACAAUACAUUGUGGGGGUUUAAUUUUCUUCUCUAAUUUGAGUGAAAGCAGUCUCAUAAAAAUAUGGAUUGUGCUUGUCCCAAAAUUAUUUAAUUAUAAAUAUCAGUAUACUAAUCUCAUAAAAUAUAAGUAAAUACGAGUUGGAAUAUGAUCAAUAAUGUCAUAUAAUUUUUUUUAUUUAAAAAAAAAAAAGCAAAGUGCUAUGCAAUCCACUUGAUAUUACGACAAUAACUGGCACACUAAUGAACAACUAGUAAAUUCAUUUUAAAAGAAAUAACACCCCAAAUCAUUAAUAUUUAAAAAGAAUCAUUUGAAAAAAUCUUAAAAAGUGUUCGGCAAUCCACUUGUCAUUGUAACAAUCACUCACACGCCACUGAUCAACUUUAGUUUCAUUCAGUAUGCCGAGAAAUAGAAUUUAAAAAUAACAACACCUCAAAAUCAUACAUAUUUGAGAAGAAUCACAUGAAAAUUGAGCAGGUCAAAUAGUUGUGUAUAGAACAAAUUUUUUCAUGAGACAGGCUGGAUAGCAAGAAAUGGAAGCCAACUGUGAGUUUCGGUCUUUCAUAGAAUUUGGCCUAACGUUGUCACAUUCACUAUUCACGUACCCAUAUUAUCAUCAUCCCAGUGGGCACUGGCACUGCUGAGUGCUGACCCAAUAGAACAAAAUAAUAAUAAUAAUAAUAAUUCCCACUUGCUCAAUAUUUUAUUCUUUUCAUUUUAAUUGUCAUUUUCCCAAGUAAAUAAAAACCUUUUAUGCAAUUAAUUCUGCUUGUCGGGUGGAUGAGGUGGUUCAUCACGUUCAAAUGUUCAAUCAAUGACAAUUUUAUCGCAAAUUCCAUUGCUUAUAAUUGUUGUAACCAAACAAAUCCCUGGUGCCUGCACUAACACCUUAGCUUCAUUUUCAAUUAAGGCGGUUUUCAACAACUUAUUAACUUUAUUUUUAAAGAAAAAGAAAUCCCAAGUGUUUUUCUCACUAAUUGAUUGCUUAAAAAUACUUAAGAAAAUUACCCACAAAUAAAUUAACGAUAAACAUUUAGUACUAGCUUAUGAUUUUUUUGGGGGGGGGGGGGUUUCUAAUAAAAUUUGGAUUAUUUGGGUUUUAUAUUUGAGAAAAGUUAAGUUACGACGAUCGAUAAUUAUAUACCCUUAAAUAAUUAUUAUCUAAUUUGGAUAUUUUUAUAUCUUAAUGAGUUCGUGUUGAUUUGCCAAUCUUACAAGUCUUUAUUUUACAAAAUAUAGAUAUUUAGAUUGAAAAAAACAUAUAUAUAUAUGUAUGACAGUAUGAGUAGUGUAUAUGUUACAAGAUAUUUUAAAAUUUAAUACUUUAGUUGAGAAAUGCCAUCACCCUCAACUACUCGGUUACAAGAAUAUUAUUGCGUUAUUUAAUAUUCUGUUAUCGAUUGCUUUAUUAGGAAGAAAUAAUGAAAAAUGGGACAUCCAUUGCUAAAGUACAACACAACAUUGUUGACAAGUGAGUCCCCCUUGAAGUGACAACUAUUUUUUUUCUUCCUUAAUAAAGGACGAGCUAUGUGUAUGUGGUUUUGCCGUGCAACCCAAGUUUCAAUGUCUGUAUCAUUUAUAGGGGGAAACCUUAGGUGCAACCCACACACGCCACUCGGCUUUUGGCAGCCUGGUUGAGAGGGCAGCAGUUAUUUUUGUGGGGGCUAAAACAUUCAUUCUUUUUUUCUUUUGUAAUUUUUCAUCUGUGAGGAUUAUUUGUCAAUAUAGAAAUUUGAUACUGUAAUCAAUAUUAAAAAAAAAAAAAAAAGUACCCACACAUACACACAUAUAUCUAAGAAAAUAAAUGAUGAAUACUAUGUAAGAGAAAAUUUGGUAGUUACAGGGUGAACACUUUCUUAUCAAAAUAAUAAUAAUAUAAUAAAUUAGAGACCCUCCUGAAUAUUUCCAACAUGCUUCUCAAAUUGCAUGAGUGUUGGAUUCAUCAACUUAUUAUUAUUAUUAUUAUUAUUAUUAUUAUUAUUUUAUCAUCAAUUGAUGUGCAAAAG
rnacentral:lncRNA from 1 species